GGCGGCCAUUUUGUGUGUCCGUGUCCGGUGACAGCAGAAUCCGGCGGGGCUCGGCCCGGUGUUCGGACAUGGCGCUCCGCAUAGUGAAAGGCAGCAUCGAUCGCAUGUUCGAUAAGAACCUGCAGGACCUGGUGCGGGGGAUCCGGAACCACAAGGAGGAUGAGGUGAGGGGGUGGGUGGGAUGGCUGAGGAUGAUAGGGGAGCAGGGGAUUUGGGGGGGUGCCCUUAGAGUCCCCGACCUGACAGCAAGGGGUCUGAGGGGCACAGAGCCGGUAACACGGGCCUGGCUCGGGUAAGGGGGGGUUACAGAAUGGGUGAUUCAUUGAUUGGGGAGUCUGGGGGGUGGCUGAGGAUGAUAGGGGAGCAGGGGAUUUGGGGGGUGCUCUUAGAGUCACCGACCUGACAGCAAGGUGUGUGAGGGGCUCAGGUACUGGGGUUACAGAAUGGGUGAUUCAUUGAUUGGGGGGGUCUGGGCUGUGCUACGUGUAAGCUAUGGAAGGCAUAUCUACGUAUUGCUUUAGGUGGGUUAAUGUGCUCAGGGUAUAAGGUGAGUGCUAGCUCACUGGCCAACAAAGUGCACAUGGGGCACAUGCCCAUUCCAGGCUGGAAUGAAUGAGGAGGGUCAGGCUGGGAGCUAUCAGAGCAAUAUGGCAUUUUAAUCAGUGUUAUGGGAUGCCUUCUAUGGAUGGCAGGGGUGUAUUUAACCUCUGCAGUGCUAGGGCUGAGCAAUGAACUUGGUUCUGGCACCCAUCUGGUUCAAUUGCAAUGCCAGCUGGCAUAUAAACUGGCACUUUGCGACCCAUAACUAGAAUGGCACACUGUAAUUACACACCAUUUUAGCAAUGUUUUUUUAAUUACAUUGUUACCCUGCCCUAUAUAUUUCUCACCACACUCUCUCUGGGCUCUGCCUAUAUGUAGUGCUUGAAGGAGAGUAUUUUUAAAGCAGUAAUGGAAGCAGUUUUAUGAUCCUAUUAGUGCAUGAGAAACACGUUCCCUGUAUGUCAUUGUUUUAGUAUUUAUUUAUUUUCCUUCCCACCAUUCAUUUUGAAUAAUGCAUUACCAGUUUGCUGCCAUAUUUUACUGAUCUGCAUAUUGACAGGUCUAAUGAGGGUUGAUACUCUGCAAUACAGUGAGAUAGACUGUAAAUUCGUUCUUCUAUCUAUAAUCCACGAUUGGAUAAUUAUUGGAUCUGUGUUCUGCAUUCUCCAGUGCUGCUCAGCCAACCAUAAGCAGUGGGCAUUAGAGCCCACAACAACAGAGGUGACAUAUUUUGCCAAACAUUGAAAGCAAAGUCAACUUUAGUUUCAGUUUCACCCAUUUUCCAUUUAAAGAAAGAAAAAAUCCUAAAAUUGUUAUUUUGUUGGAUGGAGUGAUAAUUCUUAUCUCUGGAUAUAUGUAGCCACAAAUAGGGCGAGUCCUGGUUCUAUAUAGACUUACUUGUAUAAAAGGGAUUGGGAACAUAAGAAGCAUAGAGAAUGAAUUAACCUGUAUGUUAAUAAUGAACUUGGUGAAUAAACCAGAAAUGAACGAGGGGCAGCGGAAUUUAGGAAAACUUAAAAUGUGCUUAAUUAAAGCAAAAAUGUGAUAUUUUUGUCAUUUGGCCAUUGUGAUGUGUGAACAACCUAGCAGUAAAACACUUGGAGAUGGUUUUUUUUUUUUUCCACUACUUGCCAAAAUCAAGUGUUUAUUAUUAUGCAACAUGGUUAAUGGAUUUCCGUUAUUUUACCCAACCUGCACUAUUAAAUUAGAGGCUGCAAGCACUCAUCCAUCACAAGAUUUACAUUUUCAAUUCCUCCCUUUUAACUAGCAGGGCCUUGUAAGAGACAUGUGAUCCAGUCUAUAUAGAACCACUGAAUAUUAUAUCUUUUGACCACAAGUCACUUUUUGCCAAUUAUUUAGUUUGAUUCUUUGUAAAACUAAAAAAUUCUAUCAAUUUCCUUUUCAAAAUUAUAAUAAAAUAUAUAUUAUAUGCUAAACUUUUCUAGUACCUAAUAGAAUUCAUUCAAACCUCAUGCUUUUUGCUUGUGGCUAGUGAACAUGCACCCAGAAUCAAAUGAAAACAAUACCUAGCACACACCCUUGUACAGGGAAUCUUGGGCACGUGGCCAGGAAGUAGAGAGGAGUAUUCUACUCGAUUCUACUGCACCGUUAAUACCAUACACCUUUCAGUGUAAUUCACUGGAGAAUAAAAUAGUAACUGUCUCCAACUAAAAUAUUGUGUAAUGAAUUAAGAGAACUUCUGAAUGUCAGUCUUGUGUAUAUUCUCAGUAAUCUAUUCCACAUCUAGAUAUUUACAGGGUUAUUCAAAGUGUCACUCUCACCCUCCCCUGCAAAAUGAGUAUUACAUAAAGAUCCUCCAUAGAGCGGCAGCUGAAGGGCCAGGAGCAGAAAAGGAUCAGCCAGGGAAGGAAGGUGGCGCCCGCAAGGGGCAGGUUAUGGCAGAUAUGUAAAAUCCCCAGACGGUAACGGUGUUAUAAGUCCAAAAUAACCAAAUUGGGAAAAAAAGAAAAUCUAUGUCUGCAAUGCUUCUUGAUCAGCUACUUUGGCUUAAAAUUUAAUAUUCACUGUGAUUUUACUUUGAAUUCGCACCUUUCUGAAUAACCUGUUAGUUUGAUUCCUCUCUGGUUAAUUGAUCUUGGGAACUAAAAUAUAGCUGCAGUGAGAAGCAUUUCAUCAAUGAAAUAUUAUAGCUAAAAUGAGUUAAAGACACUGUUCCCUAUUUAUAUCUAGUCUAGCACUUUCGCAGACUGAACUGCUUGUGUAUGGUGCAUGCGCAAGCACGGUCACAUUCAUUCUUUUGAGGAUGAGUUUUUAAAAAGGGUUGAGCUUAACUUUUUAAAGGUUGUGUAUUUAGGCUGCAUGAAAUAAUUAUAUACAACCAAUACCAGAAAAUCGGAUAAGCGCUAUAAGAUCAACUAUACAUGAUUAUGGAAGCAGGCUGCAAACACUAAUGGUAAAGGAUACCAUCCACCCCUUACUGUUGGAUAAAGCUAUUUUGGUGCAACCUGCAUCUGUAUGUUGUAUGAAAUACAAUUGUGUUUGUAAAGCUUGAGGCAUUAAUUGUAAAAUGCGUUUUUGAAUGGGUAUCAAAAUUGUCCGCGUGUCUGUGCCUGUAACGUGUAUACAGAUCACUUUCCCCCCCUGAAAUAUUUAUUGUAUUUAACAAUAAAAAUAUACUAAAUAACAGAUUUGUACAGCGCUACGGAAUCUGAUGGCGCUAUAUAAAUAAUAAUACACAGACCAACCCUGAUUUUAAAUGGUCUCUUGAGGCUAGGCUCACUAACAGCUAUCAUUUAAGGGACACUAUAGGCACACAACCACUUAAGCUCAUUGAAGUGUUCUGGCUGCAAUGUCCCUAUUGCACUUAGUGCUGCAAUGUAAAACAUUGCAGCUCUAAGUCUGCCUCCAGUGGCUGUCUAUCAGCAUCAGCUAUUUCCCCAUAGGAAAGUAUUAGCGCCCGUUUGUUGUCUGACGGAGGAGGUGGAGCUGGACCCAGUGCCAAUGGACAUCGGUGCUGGGAUCAGGUAAGUAAAUAGAGGGGUUUAACUCUUAAUUUACCGUGGCACGAGGGAAAGGGAGGAAGAGGGAGUGAUAGUGCCAGGAAUACAGCUUUGUACUCCUGGCACUAUAGUAUGCCCUUAAGCAUGUCACAAAAUAGCUGAGAGCUGUAAUCGUGUAGUUCUUAAUUUAAAGGAAUGGUAACACUUUUCCUUUCAUUACACAAAACAAUAUGGCUUGUCUAAGAGAAGCACUGUAUAAUCCACUCCUUUCCUGGCUUUCAUAAACCUAGCCUAAUACAUAAAAAAGAGAAGGUUAAUUAAUGCUACUUCUAUAUUUUUACAGAUCAAUUUAAUUCAUUUAGAGUCUAUGUAAGUGUGCCAUCCAGUUACUUUUAACAAAUAUACAUUGUAUCCCUAAUCCAAAAUAUUUUACACAAAACCGGUUUAAGAUGCACUGUGCAAUUUCUACAAAGAAUCGUCCCCCCCCCCAAGUGACAUGUUCACUUCCAUGAUGGUACCAGGUGGAGUGGAGAAAUGGGGAAUUAAAGGUUCUGGUCCUCAGCUCCUCCAUCUUCCGGAACAGGACAAUUUCAGCUCCAGGCUACACAUAACCUCCAGGUGCUGUGCCAGUGGCAUUCACUGACGCCCGCUUGAGAGUGUAAAAUUGAGGUUUUUGAAGACCCUGUUUUGUAGAUCUUCUUGCAUUUAUACAAUGACGCGCUUUAAAUAUCUAUUGCCUUGCAAGGUGUUUCCUUAGCCUUUGUGAGUGUCAGUUAAUGGGACAUUGCAAAAUCUGUCGUUGGAAUCUGUUUAAAGGGACACCCUGAGUACUAAACCACUAUGUAAUGCAGUGGUUGUGGUAAAUAUAUAAUGUGCCUUUUGUCUGAUUCAGUGAAACUUUGCAGCCACUGAGAAACUGCAGUAUUUACAUUUUGACAGAAAUAUGCCUUUAGUGUUUAACCAGACAGGCACUAGAACCGCUUAUACUUCAGAUCCUUUGAUUUUCGAAGGACUUCACAUUCAGUAACGUCACUCACAUGCAGAGUGUGGAGAUGCUGAACGUAGGUGCUGCACACUGUGUAGCACUGACAUAGAAAGCACCUCUACUCUGAGAGACUGCCGCUAGAGUUUUUAAUAGGCAGCACUGUAAACACUGCAUUUUCUCUGUAAAGGCAGCGUUUACAUUGAAAAGUCUGCAGGGGCACCCUAUAGACUCAAGAACCACUAAAUUAAAGCUGCACCCCCCGAACAAUGAGUAUUUCAUAAAGAUUGAAUCUUUACUAAUUCACUGAAAUUCCAACCCAGUCAAGAGAUAUACAGAGACAGUAGGGACUACUUUGUAUUUCUCCUGUGCCUGACUUUUUUUAAAAAAAAAUAUUUUUUUUAAACUUUCUUAGACUCAGAGCAGAGUCUAAGUGUCAAUCCCAACAGCCGUCACCAGUGACGACUGCAAGGAAUUGACUUUGUCUAUGGAGGGUCUCGCGGAAUCCUCCAGAGACCUCAAUGCUGUACUCUCAUGCAUGCAAAAAGUCUUUAUUGAAAUAAUUUUUAGAAAUAUUGAAGGUUUAAAUAUAUAAACACCAUGUCCUAAACAUAUUAAUUAUCACUGCAAAUGAAAAUACUCAUGUUUUGUUUUUGUUUUUUCUCAUUUAAAAACAAACAAAAAAAUCUUUUAAAUAGCUUUGGGGGAAGGGUAAAGGGUGGGGAGAAGCAGCUCCUCUCCAGUUUUUCCAUUUUUUUGUAACAUCCUUGUCAUGAAAGUCCCAGUUUUUAAGCAAAACUGUGCGAAAACUGAUGAUAGAAUUAAGAACACUUGCAAUGUAUACUUGUAUAAAAGCAGACAAUCUUUGUGCAAGCAAUGGAAACCGUAUCUACUGUGCACUAAGACUUGUUGGUGUGGAAUAUAAAUAUUCCUGUAACUAUAACCCAUCGUACCUACAUAAAGAGGAAAUUAAAAGAUAUCCACUGAUUAGAGCUUGGCGUGCUAGAAUAUAAUGCUGCUGGUAUAUCAAAAAGUUGGAUAGUUUUACACUUACCCUCUUCUCAUGACAUGCUUGGUUUGUUCAAACUUCUUAGAACUUUAAUUGGAAGAAAAAAUAAAUAUCCAGGCACACCUGGGCUUUCUUCUAAAAAGCAAUGUUUUAUUGGGAACAAAAAAGUCUGAUAAAGGCUGAGAGGAGCCAAAACGUUGUCUCCACUCCUUUGUUCCCAGUAAAAGACUGCCUUUUUAGAGGCAACCUCAGGUGUGCCUGGAUAUUUAUUUUUUUCUUCCAUUUGAUGUCUCCAUGGAUUGGCCCUUUCCUUCUGGAGCACUCUGCAGGAAGUAUUUCCCAUUUUUCGUGUGUGCAUUAUACUUUUGUAUUCUUGCAAACUUCUUAGGAGUUUGAGUUCUAUGAUGAACCCUACUACAUAUAUCCAAAAACCCCAUGAUAACACGAGUUGAUUGCCUGGACGCAGCCACCCAGUUUCCCAUAGGGAAGCAUUGGGAGGCUGCCGUGCAUGCGCAUUAAAACACCAUGCUGUGACAAUCAAAUGCUUUUGUUAUGGUGGCAAAAAUGUCUUCGUGCAAAACAAAAAUACAGGGACAGUUAAAAAGAGAGUACAAACCGUGUUUGUUUUUUCAGUUUCUUUCUACGGCUCCUAUUUUUGUUAAUUGUAUUGAUACAUAAUUUAUUGUGCUGUGCAUACCAGCAGAAAGCUCUGUCAGUCCUAUAAAAAAACAAGCAAAACUAUAUAUAAUAUGUAUGGGCUUACUUCAUUAGAAAGCAGUAAAGUACAGUGGGACAGAUGCAUAGCAAAAGUGCAAAAAAGGCCUUAAUUGUAAAUGCGGAGAAUCUCAGAAAUGCCUGUGUAACUAAGGAGUUAGUUUUAGACGUUUCCUGUCAUAGUUCAAACUGGAAAUACCAUUCUUAAAUGAAUGAUGUGGCUAAACCAACAAUACUUAACCAAGUUAAAGAUUGGUCUAUUUGAUCAAGAGUGUUUCCACUGUUUAGUUAUCUAGAACUUAACAUGAUUUAGUUUUUAAUAAAACACAGUAUUUUGGGGUGGAAAAUAUGAAACCAGAUUUUCUGGAUUUCCCUUGAGUCCCAUUAUGAUGAGUGACUGUGUAUCUGUGAAAGAUCCCUUGCAAGAGUACCGGCUUCUGCCGUUACAGGAGGAAUAAAGAUAAUACCAGGGCAGCUACCAGAGGCACUUCCUGUAGAUUCACUUAAUGAGACGACGCUGGACGUGUUGAAAGCCCCCAUACAAAAGCAUUGUCAAUUUUUUGUAUUUUUUUUUUUUUUAAAUAACUAAAAUCUGCUAAUUUGGGUGCUGGCACAAAGUUGUAUGAUGGCUUCCUAUAAUGCUUUGUGGAUGUUGGUGUCUGAACUUGAUUUGCUCUUAAAUGAGCACACGUUACAAGGUACAACUGUAACAUUAACGUGCAUAAAAUCUUAAUGUGAUAACUAUUUUGACUGCAAAGUGCCACCGUGACAGAGAUUUUGGUAACAGAAGGUAGUCUUUGUGACAUUUGCUAUCCUUCCUUUAAGGAGAUCUGACACUUAUCCAUGUAACACCCAAGAAAGCAUUUGAUUAUAGGAACACUAUAGUGCUGAAUCAAUACAUCUCUAUGGGGGAGCGUUCAGCGUCUCCAUAGCGGGGAGAUGCUGAACGUAGGUGCUGCACACAGCACUGACUUAGGAAGCACCUCUAGUGACCGUCUGAGUGACUGCCACUUGAGGUGUUACUACCCAGCAAUGUAAACACUGCCUUUUCUCUGAAAUGUCAUCGUUUACAUGGCUGAGCCUGCAGGGGCAUGCUAUAGACACCAUAACCACUAUAUUGAGAUUUUUCUUUGUAUCCAUUGUAUUGAAUGAAGAUGACGCAAUGUUUUUCAUGUGGGCAAAAGGCACCAACUAUAAUACAUUUCAUAUCUAUAGAGCUCAAAGAAACACUCCUAUGAAAACAAAACGUAUUUUUUUUUUUCCAGUUUACUAGAAUCCGUCUUUUCUGACAGCUUUUGCCUGUCACAACCUCUUCUAGGUUUCUGAAAUCUAUCCAUUGAGAUCUGCCAUAAGAUUUUAUGUCCUUGUUCUUUGACGUGUCGCUAUAGGGAGUUACAUAUUCCCUAUUCGAAUUGUUGAAUUAACCCCUUAUUUUAUGUUUUCCUUGUCCUUGGGUGUGAAAAGGUUUCUUUAUUGAUGACGGAAUCGCAGUAAGAACAUCCAGACUAUGGGAAAGUUCCAUAUAUAGGGGGUUGCAACUAUCCAUUUUUUUUUUUUAAAGCUACAUACACCUACCAAUACAAGUUUGUCUCUCCAUCAGUGGGAACAGUGAUUCCGGCACAUUAAGGUGUGCAUUCCUCAACAGUGGUUUUUAAUCACAUGUACGAUCUGGUUUCUUUGCUUGUUGCGCUCAAUACUUCGUUUUGACCAUGGGGUAAAGUUGUAAGUGUAUCACAAGCAUGAUGGCUGACCAUAUGUACAUUAGUUUUUCUGUCGGCUGGUCAAUCUGUAUUGUUCAAUUUUCAUGUCCACAUCUCUAACCGGAACAUUUACUUUGUGUUGACUGAUGGUGCAUGUAAAUUCAAUAUUUUGUAGCAAUGUAUUGAACUCAUGAAUACAUUCUACUAAUGAUUCUUGUGGCCCCCUCAAUAUAGCAAAACUAUAUUGUAUAUAAGUCUCCACCAUACUUCAUAUGUUCUUUGAACAACAUUUUGGUGUAAAUGUAUUUCUUCUCAUAGCUUGCUAUAAACAGAUUUUCACAGGAGGGGGACAUAUUAGAAUCCAUCGUAUUACCUGCACAUUGUGCAUAAUUGGUAUCUUCAUACAAAAAGUAAUUGUAUUCAAGAACUAUGCCGAGUAGUUGUAGCAAUAAGUUUUGUUGAAGGACUAUGCCCAAGAGUUGAAAUAUGAAUUCCUGUUGUCCUGCUGUGUAUCUGGUGUCUGGGUAGGUAUUGAGUAGAGUUUCUUUACCUAUAAAAAUUUUUUUUUUUUUUUUACCUAAUGAAAACAUGUGAGCGUUGAGUGAUAAUCUCAGUAGCAGUGGUCUAGCAAAUUGAACAGGUGAAAGAAACCUUCUGCACUCGAGAUUUUGUGGAUUAUAUCUGUCGUAAUGCUGUUACAGCCAUAAUGCUGGUAAAGCAUCUGGUAGAUGUAGUCCACAACAUCUGGAGCUCGAAAGGUUGGUUGCCUUGUACACUAGAGAUCUCUCCCAUGUAAACACACUCGUAAGUUCUCGUCUUGAUACAUUCUUUCCAAAAACAAGUUGAGACAAAAUUCAGAGUAGCAUUUAACAUUAAAUAACUUAUGUUAGUAGUUCAAUUUUUAUGUUGCAGGCACAUAUUAUUAGUCAGUCUUGGGAGAUUCAUCAUGGGUAAUGUCACAAAGGAACGACGAGUAAAAAUAGUGGAAUUUUAUUUUUAAAAUGACAGGUCCAUUGUUUGGACGCAAAGUGCAAGAAAUUCCCAGAUAAAUUGGCCGCCACCUUUGCCUGUCCUUUCGGCUCCCGAUUACUGUGAUGUGGUGAUAUCUGAAGUAGUGGGUACAUGCGGACAGCCUGCUUUUACUUGAGCCGCUCCAGGAGAAUAUCCGUGCAGACAUUUGAGUGGCAACACCUCAAAAAUGGACUGUUAUGAACAAUGCAAGCGAAAGAGCUUGACUUUGCAAGGCAGAAAAUGGAGCUCAUUUAGAAGAUGUCAUAUUUGGUACCUAGUCAAACAAAUCUCCAUAUGUUAAAUCAGGGAUGCCUAGAUGUUGUAGAACUACAAUUCCCAGGAUCGCAUGCCUUUAGAACAGGGGUCCUCAAACUUUGGCCCCCCAGAUGUUGCUGAACUACAACUCCCAUGAUUAUUUGAAUUACAUAGAUAGCCAGAGAAUCAUGGGAGCUGUAGUUCAGCAACAUCUGGAGGGGCCAGAGUUUGAGGACCCCUGCUUUAGAAUGUAUUACAAUGACAAAGCAUCAUGGAAGCUGUAGUUUUAAAACAUCUGUGGAUCUACCUUGUGUGCAUCCAUGGGUUAAGCAUUCAUUGUAUCUAAUGUAAUUGUAAUUGGUUCAUUAAUAAAACAAUUAACGUCUCAAACUCUACUCUGAAUUUUGUCCAACCUUGUAGUUGGUUAGUGGAUCCUUCUGUCUCUACAGAAGGUUGUUUCAUACAAAGUUAAACCUUUUUCUCUUAAAUCCUCUGUUCCGACUUAGAAGUAACCUUCUUUGCUUUGUCCUCUUUUGAGUUUUUGUCUUUCAAUUCCUUUUGGUCUGUUAUUAAAAGUGGCCAGUCUGUAAUUAUGGAUUCCCAUUAAAGGGAUUCAUUGAUGAAAGGGCAUUAUUAUAUCUAUUAUGGAAGAUGGCUCAAGCAAAGUCCUUGAAUAUUUCAAACAUGCAUUUGUUCUCAUGCAAGUUAGCAUUAUAUUUAGGGCUUGCAAAUUCCACUAGUCCACUCGCCUGUGACGAGUAAAAUUAAAUGAAAAAAAUAAGUAAAAACUUUUUUUUCAGAUGUGUGGAUAGUGAAUGGACCUCAAAGGUUUAUCCCCACCUGACUAUUUUGAAUCCGACUCUUAAACAUAAAGUGAUUUAUAUAGUUGUUCUACACAUGCUUACAAUACCGUACCAGGUAACUUGCUAUUGCCUCUUAAUUUUGCUUUUGUUGAGGCAAGUAUUUUUAAUAAGAACUUCUAUGAAAAGCUGUGCUGUAGGAUCAAUAUUGUUUUCAUUUUAUCUUUCAAGAAUCGAAGAAGGAAAUGAAAAUCUCAGUUUCCCAUUUUUUUGAAAACAUGUAUUUUGUACGAGAAAAUAUUUAAUGCCCUUUUAACCCCACCCUUUCUUUGCUUUAUGUGAAUGCCUUGCUAAUGAGCUAUGAAUUCGUGGCUUGCAGUAGACGUCAACACAUUUUAACUGAUCACACUUUUUUCAAGUGUGAAAUAUCUUCAUUAAAUUAUUUUACACAUUUUUAGUCACUCUGCCUUCUAUUCUUAUAGUGACAGUAUCUUAACUAGAAUGUUAGAUUUGGUAUGCAUAUACCCUAAAUUUUAAGAAUUUAUUAAAAUAUAUACAUCUAACCCUCCCCACUGAUCCAGAUAUAUGUAUCUCUUGCUCCAGCCCCCCUCACAACUUUUAGUGGUCCCUGGAUCGAUGCUGCUGACCUUUUCUUCCAUUGUGCUGGUCAAGCCAGUUAUUGUUCCACGGUGUCUCCAUAUUGGAGUUUCUAAGAUGGUGACCGCUGAAAAUUGCUUUGUCUGCCUUUCCAAGAGUGUGAGCAUUAUGUCGCAUGCAUGCCCAGUUCGUCAAGUGUCCACACAGUCGAUGACGUGUCGAUGGAAGUAGACGAGGAAGAACUUGACCACCAAUGACAAAAGUUGACAAAGGACAUGGAGCUAAACUAAAUCUUCACCUGACAACUUUUGUAAACCCACAGGUUGUACCUAAAGAAAAGCAGUACCACUUUACCUCACUUAAACUUUAACUUAAAUUUUUUAUAUAUAGUGGGGGGUGUGGCUUGGCUUUGUCAAAACUCUCUUUGCAGGACAAUCUAUUUGGCUCCACUGAUCUAAGCAGGGGUAUGCCAUGGUCAUGUAUUGGAAAUGCUUAGCCCCGUGGAAAGAAUCCUACUGGAGAAACCACUUGUGGUGCGGGCAUCUGUUUGAUAAUGUUCAUAACCUUCUAAAUUGGUUUGAUUAAUUACUUUGGGGGGCUCCAGCAGGCUGUGCGAGUUAGGCUGCUGUGAGUAUUCCUUUUAAUAUUUUACACUGUUAAAACAUGGAUCAAUGCAGAAAUGUGUUCAUAUUAAAAUUUCAUUUAAAUCUGUAACUUUCACGCAUCAACUGAUAAGGGAUAAUUUAUUUGCGUUGAAACUUAUAAUAUUAUUAUUAUUGCCAUUUAUAUAGCGCCAACAGAUUCCAUAGCACUUUACAAUAUUAUAAGAGUGGGAUUUAACUAUAAAUAGGACAAUUCCAAAAAAACUUACGGGAACAAUAGGUUGAAGAGGACCCUGCUCAAUCAAGCUUACAUUCUAUAGGAGGUGGGGUGUAAAACACAUUAGGACAUGAAUUUACAGUCAAAUAAGGUGGGCUGCCCUUUAGGAGAGAGCAAGAGACAGGUAUGUGAGCUAGAGGUUCGUCUUGGAGGCCAUAAGCUUUCCUAAAGAGAUGGGUUUUAAGGCACUUCUUAAAAGAUGCAAAACUAGGGGAUAGUCUGAUGGCGAUAGGCAGGCUAUUCCAUAGGAAGGGAGCCGCCCGCAAGAAGUCCUGCAAGCGUGAGUUGCCCGUACGGGUGCGGACAACAGACAGGAGGUGGUCACGGGCAGAACGGAGAGACAGAGAAGGCACAUACCUAUGGAUCUGUGAGGAGAUAUGAUGGGCUAGAGUUGUUCAGUGCUUAGAGAUUGUAUAGAGUAUUUAGAAACCAUGCUUUAGAUAUUUCAAAGGAUCCAGAUUCCCACAGUAUAAAGUCCAGUUUAAUGAUUUCAGAGUAUGUAAAGGGCAGUUGGCUGACUCAAUCCCAAGUGUGCCCAGAGCUGGGUUAGUCAUUACUGCUCUCCAAAGACCUUUUCGAAUGGAGAGCAGAGUUGCACUGCUUCACCUGUCAUAUUGCAUUGACCCAUGCUGUUAUAAAAAGAGUUUAACUAGCUAGGAGGUAAAUCCAGUCAAGAAGACUCAUUGCUAAGUUAUGGGGGGAAAAGGCAGAGCAAAAUAAUUAACUGUAACAAAUUAUUCUGCAGUGCUUUACAAUAUUACAAAAAGAAAUGUAAGAAUCAUUCAUUUUAUGAUCUAAAAAUAUAGAACCUUAUUGCUUCAGUCUCCUGUAAUUUAAUGAAUUGCGUUGGCAAAAGGUCAGUGAAUUGUUACAUGUUAAUGCCGGCCCUGUCACCUUCUGGGGUCUCUGCAUAUUUUGCAAAGUCACCAGAUAGUGUCUGACCCUCUUGUAUUUCCGUAACCAAGGAGGCAGGAAAAGAUGUUUUUUAAUUACUUGAUCCUGUCCUCAUGGGAUGAGUCAUCUUUUCCCUACAAUUACUCUUAGACUACAACUCUUCAGCUCCUGGCACUAAAUCUGCCAAGAGCCAUUGUCGGCGUUGUGCAAAAACACUGGAUUCUCCACGGUAGGAGCCUUUUCCCCCACUGCCCUCACCACUAGUGACAGCUGAGGGCUUGAGAAAAGGGAGUUCUGCCCUUUGUCAAACAUAGGAAAAAUACAUAAGACAAAGUAGUCCCUACUCUCUUUAUAUCUUUUGACUGGGUUGGGAUUUUACUGACAUUUCAACAGUCCUUAUGGUGACAUACACUUUAACACUGUAAAACAAUUCUGUGACACUGUUCUUUUGAACCGUUCUACUCCAUACAGUGGAACAACAGUGAACUGCAGGCUCCACCAUAACCACUACAGCCUGCUUGGUGUUCAUGUAACUAGCUUUAUGCUUAAAUAUGGUCAGAUUGUCAAAUUAUAAAUACAACAAUGUUUGAAAUAAUUUAUUUGAAUGGAUUGGAGUGGUAAUCAUCUUAAAGGACCACUAUAGUGCCCUGAGGGUGCCCCCCUCCCGCCAGGCUCUAGGGGGUUUAAGGGGUUAAAUUUACCUUUUUCUCCAGCGCCGGGCAGGGAACUCUCUUCCAGAUCGCCGUCAUCGGCUGCAUGCGCGGCAGGAGCUGCGCGCGCAUUCAGCCAGUCCAUAGGAAAACAUUCUCAAUGCUUUCCUAUGAACACUGGCGUCUUCUCACUGUGAAAAUCAGUGAGAAGUGCCUCUAGAGGCUGUCAAUGAGGCAACCACUAGAGGCUGGAUUAACCCUAUUAUAAACAUAGCAGUUUCUGCUAUGUUUAUAGAAGAAAGGGUUAAUCCAAGCUGGACCUGGCACCCAGACCACUUCAUUAAGCUGAAGUGGUCUGGGUGCCUAUAGUGGUCCUUUAACUCUCCUCCACCUGAGAUGUCAUGGAGCUGGUAUUGCCUCCUCCAGCGUGAGCCAAUCCAAAGCUCCUCUUAGCAAGGCAUUAAAUCAAUGCUUCCCUUUGGAGGAUUCCAUGUAGCGUGACGGUUUUACUCAGUCGUUGCCGUUGAAGCUCCUCCAGUGUCUGUCAGUGUAACAACCAGUGGAAGGGAGUCUAACCCUUCAAAGUAAACAUUGUCUAUUCUGCAAAGAGGCAAUGUUUUACCUUGAAUGGUUAAAUUGACAGGACUGUUGCAUCCAAGCCACCAUUAAGCUAACAUAAUGAGAAAGGUUUGAGUCGAUCUUUUUUUAUUUUUUAUUUUUUUUUAGAGAUUUAAAGAGAGCUGUAAUGGUUGUGAUGCUUAGAAUGCUCAUUGUGUUUUGUUUGCCUUACGAAUGACAAGUCUGUAGGCUGUUCAAUUGACCAGUCAAUAUUCCACAUUAUGACUGCAUUUCGUAUUUCAAAUUCAAAUCCCUUUGAUUUUCAAGUGAAAUGCAAAGUGAAUUCUAAAUUUAAGACCAAAGUAUUCAAAGUGGAAAGAGCGGACUUAGAGAAAUUUUCCAUUUUGGGUGCUUUCACCUUAAAUGAUACCUGUUGGCACUAUAACUAUUUCAUCUCACUGAAUUGGUUAUAGUGCUUGGUGACCUCUGGCCAUGUCCUUCUAUUCAGUGUCAAAAAUCCUGGCAUCCCACUACAAGAUUUAUACACAUUUCACUCCCUAUAGGCUUUAUAAGCUACAAUUAUCACCUACUAAUAAGUGUUGGAGGGAAUGUGGUAAUGUUAUGCAAUAUGCUGUGGACAUGCCAUAAAAUGCAGUCUUACUGGGAUUACUUUUUUUUUUUUUUAAUUAGACUUAUUGAUGACUCCAUAAUUACAUUAACGCCUGAACUGUGCUUGUUCAAAAUGAUGCCUAAUAAUUUACCUAAACAUAAAUGCAUAAUCCUAGGCCAUAUUCUCAUUUCAGCCACUGUGGUUCUUCCACAUCAGUGGAAGCUUCCUGUAGUUCCGGAUAUUAGUGAAAUUUUUAACCAAUUGUUUGAAAAUUAUAAGAUGUGAAAUUGUGCUUAGUUUACCGCCCCAUACACUUAAUCUUCUUAGAUGUGAAUGGGAUAUCAAAGAAAGACAUCAGACAGACGUACAACUUCAAUUUUUGACCCCACCUGACCAAAAUGUUAUAUAUACACUGCUCAAAAAAAAUAAAGGGAACACAAAAAUAACACAUCCUAGAUCUAAAAGAGUUAAACAUUCUUCUGAAAUACUUUGUUCUUUACAUAGUUGAAUGUGCUGACAACAAAAUCAGACGAAAAUAAAAAAAUGGAAAUCAAAUUUUUCAACCCAUGGAGGUCUGGAUUUGGAGUCACACUCAAAAUUAAAGUGGAAAAACACACUACAGGUUGAUCUAACUUUGAAGCAAUAUCCUUAAAACAAGUCAGAAUGAGGCUCAGUAGUGUGUGGCCUCCACGUGCCUGUAUGACCUCCCUACAACGCCUGUGCAUGCUCCUGAUGAGGUGGCGGAUGGUCUCCUGAGGGAUCUCCUCCCAUACCUGGACUAUAGCAUCUGCCAACUCCUGGACAGUCUGUGGUGCAACGUGACGUUGGUGGAUGGAGAGAGACAUGAUGUCCCAGAUGUGCUCAAUUGGAUUCAGGUCUGGGGAACGGGCGGGCCAGUCCAUAGCAUCAAUGCCUUCGUCUUGCAGGAACUGCUGACACACUCCAGCCACAUGAGGUCUAGCAUUGUCUUGCAUUAGGAGGAACCCAGGGCCAACCGCACCAGCAUAUGGUCUCACAAGAGGUCUGAGGAUCUCAUCUCGGUACCUAAUGGCAGUCAGGCUACCUCUGGCGAGCACAUGGAGGGCUGUGCGGCCCCCCAAAGAAAUGCCACCCCAUACCAUUACUGACCCACUGCCAAACCGGUUAUACUGGAGGAUGUUGCAGGCAGCAGAACGUUCUCCAUGGCGUCUCCAGACUCACAUCUGUCACAUGUGCUCAGUGUGAACCUGCUUUCAUCUGUGAAGAGCACAGGGCGCCAGUGCGAAUUUGCCAAUGUUUGUGUUCUCUGGCAAAUGCCAAAUGUCCUGCACGGUGUUGGGCUGUAAGCACAACCCCCACCUAUGGACGUCGGGCCCUCAUACCACAUUCAUGGAGUCUGUUUCUGACCGUUUGAGGAGACACAUGCACAUUUGUGGCCUGCUGGAGGUCAUUUUGCAGGGCUCUGGCAUUGCUCCUCCUGUUCCUCCUUGCACAAAGGCGGAGGUAGCGGUCCUGCUGCUGGGUUGAUGUCCUCCUCCACGUCUCCUGAUGUACUGGCCUGUCUCCUACGCUGACAGACACAGCAAACCUUCUUGCCACAGCUCGUAUUGAUGUGCCAUCCUGGAUGAGCUGCACUACCUGAGCCACUUGUGUGGGUUGUAGACUCCGUCUAAUGCUACCACUAGAGUGAAAGCACCGCCAGCAUUCAAAAGUGACCAAAACAUCAGCCAGGAAGCAUAGGAACUGAGAAGUGGUCUGUGGUCACCACCUGCAGAACCACUCCUUUAUUGGGGGUGUCUUGCUAAUUGCCUAUAAUUUCCACCUGUUGUCUAUCCCAUUUGCACAACAGCAUGUGAAAUUGAUUGUCACUCAGUGUUGCUUCCUAAGUGGACAGUUUGAUUUCACAGAAGUGUGAUUGACUUGGAGUUACAUUGUGUUGUUUAAGUGUUCCCUUAAUUUUUUUUGAGCAAUGUACAUUGUGAUAUUUUGUAGCAUAUGCUACAUUUGAUUUAUUAAUAAUUUACUACUUCCAGAUUUUUAUUUAUUUACAUUAUACCCCGGUUUGAUUGUUGUAUCAAUAUUUUACUUAUCUCAUACUGAUUGUUCAUUUUAUUGUCAAAUUUGAAAUCUUUUAAUAAAAAAACUAUUUGAAAACUAAGGGUCCCUGGCCACCUAUAGCACAGCCCCAACUGGAGGUUUGGCUAAGCCUUAGGUUACUUCCUUCUAGCAAUACUAAUUCAUGUCAGCAGUGGGUGAUGUGAUGGACUGAAAGCUGACACUCUCAACCAACGAAUGCUGCUCAGAUUUUUGCCUUCUCAUUAGCCCAAGCAGCACAAAGUGGGGGGGCGGCUGCUUGGGGCUCUCGUUUAGCAAUAUAAACAUUAAAUAAUGUUUUAAUUCUGAAUGCAAGGACGUCACCAGAGGACUCAUUACACUAUAACCACUUCAAUGAGACAAAGCUUUCAUAGUACCUACAGUCCCGCUUUAAAUUUUUAUACGCUGUCUGCUUUCACUUCAUGCUAACCACGCACCACAGGUUUAACAAAGUUAUUUACUAAAGCAAAAGUUAAAGCAUGCUGCAAUGACUAUGGUGCCAGGAAUUCCCUGGCUCCUUCCCAUGAUUGUACCUGCAUCUGUCAGGGACUCUAGCUAUGGUGCUUAGACUGCCCCUUAUACAAAGGAUACAUAUAUUUUAGGGAAAAAAAUGAACUGUAAGAAUUCUAAAAACAAGUAUUUAAACUUGAUUUUCUUUUUUCUUUUCCAUUUGGUCUAACUGUACAGUUACUGGCUUAACAUGCAACCAUUGUCUGUGAGUUUAAGCUGACACUUCAGGCUAGAAUAAGCCUCUAUUAUUUUAUUCAUGAUGAUAAAGCAUUAUAUAUAUAUAUAUAUAUAUAUAUAUAUGUAUAUAUAUAUAUAUAUAUAUAUAUAAAAACCAUAUCUCUGCUGCGAGCUCGCCAGUAUGCUAUAAUCUCUCCCUCAGCAUAGUCUUCCCACUAGCAGUUCAGCUACUGUAUGUCAUCUCCACCUGUUCCAUCAAGCUCCUUCAUAGAAGCAAUAGAAUGAAGGAAAGCCAGAGCAAGAGACAUUUUUCAAAGCAUUUACACUUCUGCUAAAAUCCUUGUCCAUUAAGUCUACCAUGAAGUAUAUGAAGCAAUGGUUCUCUAACCAGCUCUCAAUGUUUUAGUAAUAACACCUGUGGCACUGGACUGGGUCAUGGUUCCUGACAAGUGGUCCUUGAUAAAUGAGAACCGUUAUAGAUCUCUCUAGUGGUUAUGGUGCCAGGAAUGCCCUGGUGCCACCCACUUGGAAAUAGUCAAACCGUUUUAGAAUGGUAUCACCUUUUUACUUCUUUCGACGGAGAGCCAGAAGCCACUAAGCGGGAUCUUCUGUUGUCUCUCCUGAGCUAAGAGCCCUGCAGUGAUGACCACUCCGAUCCAGCAUAACGCUAAGCCAAACUAUUCCCCCAGCCCUCACUAGGUAGCUCCAACUUUUAUCAAGUUUAACACAUAUUGCCAAAGAAUUGGAGUUGUUUAAAGAUGGCACGAGGGUUAAAAUUAUAUUUGUUGAUUGGACAGUGUAGAAAGUAGGUGAUUGUCACUUUGAAAUAAUAUUGGUAACUACAAUAAAAAGGGUUAGUUUUUUUUUUUAGAAGGAUCUACAUCUCUCUGUUAAAGUAGGAGGUGAAGCAGCAGCAAGUGAGUUAAUUUUUGUGUUGACUUCUACACAUGGUGUUCUGGCCCAGAUGGAUUUGAUAAUGUGUUCAAAAGUUGGACAUUACGAUAAUAGAUUUUCCCAGCAGUGAGCUGUAAAAAGCCCUUUUGCUUCAGUGUGCGACUUGUUUUCCCAUCUGGUACCUUGUUCUUAGAAGAGGAUUGACUUGAAUAUUUCAUGACAUCUGAAUGUUGCCCUGGGAACAAAUGUCACCCAAUCUCUCUGUCAGAUCAGAUUCCUUGCUCUAUUUAUUCCUGAGGCAGGCCUGUUUUCAAUGAAAAAAUGUAAAUUUGUGAACUUAGAUUUUUUGGAAAAUAUGAUGCUGCUCUCGUUGCAUGUAUGAGUAGAAGUGACCUCAGUGAACAGUUUAUAAUAGUCCUAAUUUCUUCAUUCUUGGCUCAGAGUUUCCACAAGCACAAAAGUUGAGUGUCUUGUGAGAAUACAUUAUAAAAUGAACAUUUCUCCCAAGUAGUGUUAAGCUGGAAUUAAAGGGACGCUCCAGACAACAUAACCAGUACAGCCUGUUUUGUAAAUAGGGAGUCAGUGGCUGAGAGGAUCAGCCAAUCAGCUGGCGCCCUGCCCAUCGGCUCCACCUGGGGGGGAAUUGAGAUAAGUGCUGGUGGAAACUGUGGGGUUAAACCGUUUGAGUAAUGUUUUAUCUCCUGAAAGUAAGAAGGCUCAGAUAACUGCAGAUAACUUCACCAUAACCAUAGAUGAAGUUAUUAUGGUGCAUACAUUAUCUUUUUAAAUUAACACUACAGUGUUAGGAAUACAAAACAGCAUUCCAAACACUAUAGUACCCAUCUACUGUUACCCGAUGAAAAUAAGACAUCCCCAGAAAAUAAACACUAGCUUAUUUUUGGUGGAUGCUGGUAAUAUAAACCCUAGUUGAGAUUGUCGCUAGUUCACUAAUCUAUGUUUGGGGAAUUUUCUCAGACCAUAGAUUCGUGGGAUUCCAUGCACUAGUAAGGUCAUCUAUUUUCGUGGAAGUUUCCCCAAACAUAGAUUCGAGGAAUUCCAUACCCUAGUUAACUGGUCUUUGUUUGGGGGAAUUUCCCAGAGUGUAGACCUGCUUUCUUGCACAUGCUUGCUACCGACAUCCCCCCAAAAUAAGCCCUAGUGCGUUUUUUUUUGUUUUGUUUUUUGCAGCAAAAAUUAAUGACCCGAACUUAUUUUCGGGGGGAAACGGUAGGAGGACUGUGUAAGUCAUGUCCAGAGGAGGUGUGGCUAGGGUUGCAUAGACAGUGUUAUUUACUAAAGUAAGAGUUUAAAUUGAAUGUAAAAUUUUAGAUCUGAGUAGCCAAAAUGAAAGCACAGGUGACAGAGAAUUUUUCAAGCUUGUUUUUUUUUUAUCUGAAAAUUGAAAUUCACUAUUCAAUUUUCAGCAGUGGGACUGCCGGAGUAUAAUCUAUACAUCAAACCCACAUUAUUAAGCUAAAAUUGUUUUGGUGCUUAGGGGACACCCAGUUAAUAACUAAAUGACCUCGGCACUGUUUCUCAUUUCAUAAAAGUACCCCAUAAUUAUAGGCUGCUAGCAAGUUGGUUUCUUGAUUACUACUGUUCAUACAACAAUACAUAAAUGAAUGUAUAACACUCUAGUGUUUCUUUAACUGCAGACGCCUGCUAUAUUCAUCUAGCUCUGUGUUUGCUUUCGUACAUCCUUGUUUUGAAUGUCUAAACCUAUGUUUAGCAUAUGUUGAGUAUUUUUCUAGUCUGUUUAGAAAUGGAAUAAAAGCCCCAGUUGCGUGAUCUUUUACUAAUUGAUAUUUUUUGUCUUGCAGGCAAAGUACAUCUCUCAUUGCAUCGAUGAGAUCAAACAGGAACUAAAGCAGGAUAAUAUAGCGGUGAAAGCCAAUGCUGUCUGCAAGCUGACAUACGUGAGUCUUGGCCAUCCUGUUAUUUUCUUGUAGUGAUUGCUAUCAUUACUGCCCUGUCUGGAUCAUAGCAGAAACAUCUGAAAGGUUCUUUUUCCACUCUUAUUUUUUUUUAUUUUUUUAUUUUUAAUGGGGAGCUACUGAUAGCCUGAGAGUGUCUGGUGACGUUCUCAGCUUAUCAGAAGGCACCCAGUCCGAGGCUUCCUGAUUGAAUCCUGGGACAUUGAGUAAAAAUAAAGCUUCAAGCAAUCUGGCGUACGCUUGAAGACUUUGGGGUUCGUUAAUGGUUUAACUUCAGGUAAGCUGACACCCAGAACCUCCUCACACCAUAACACCUUAAUUACAAUGAUUAAGGUGCCGGAGUGGUCCUUUAAUGUUGAUUUCUGUUGUACACUAGGAUUACGGAAUAAUGCCCAUUGCGUCAAUAACGAGCCAGAUAAUUGGGUAAUUCCAAAAUGAGUGUGAAUCUAUUAGCGGCAAAACUUUUAUUGCACACAUUUCUGGCACUGAUAGACCUCUCGUAUGAACAACAUUCAAUGACUUGUAUAGAGGCAGUUGAAAUAUUGUAAGAUAGUGUUGUUGUUUUUUUGUUUUGUUUUUUUAAACGGAAGGCUGCUAUUCAGUCAAAUUCAUAUUGUGCCACUGUUUUCUUUAAUAUCAUUCCUACUGCAUAAUUACAUUGACACACAGAGCAGGGAAUUUGACCAUGGGUGCCGUCCUGGGGGGGAACAGCUGCCUAUUAGAACAGGCUAUUUUGCUAGUCUAGCUUCUUGUGACCUGAAUCAUUCACGUGACUUAUAUGAACUGUUUUAAGCACCACUGUAGUUUAAUCCUGUUGCCUAGCUUGUCAUUCCUGUCCCUUUUCAUCUCUCCUGGUUAUGUAACUCUAACCUUUUAAAGGGACACUCCAGUCCCCCUAAAGCACUUUAUCUUAGUAAAGUGCUUUAGGGAUUACCUGCUUGUCCCCUCGCCUUAUUUUCUACAAAUAACAAUUUAAGCAGAGAACUUGGACAUUUUAUAAAUCCCUGUGUAAUGCCUCCUGGCUGACCGGACGAGAGCAGGAGGGUUUCCUGCCUCCCUCCAUUUGAACUAUAGUUUAAAGUGGAAGUGAGUGCAUUGGUUCUAAUGCUUCUCUAUAAGACGUGUUAUCAUAUUGCGGUGAUUGCUGAGCAUGUGCCCUGUCUUUUUUUUUGUGUUUUUGAUACAAGUCAUCAGUAAUGUGUCUUGAAAGGAUUUCUUCCACUCCUCCCCAGCACCAUACCCAGUUCUAAUUCAGUGGUUCUCAAACCAGUCCUCAAGACCCACCAACAGUCCAGGUUUUGUUAGUAUCUCCAUUGGAAUAAAACAGGGAAAUACAUAAAUCCUGGACUGUUGGUGGGCCAUGAGGACUGGUUUGAGAACCACUGAUCUAACUGAAUUGGUUAUGGUUCCUGAAGACCUCUGUUUUCAUUCCACCAUCCAACAUGAAACCAUUCUUAAACAACUUGACAUUGAAUGGUCCUCCGCCAGCCCUACCCCUUUCUGCUGCUCAGGCUAAUGUAAGUGUGUGUUCAGCAUAUCAAUGGCCUCCAGUGCUGGUGUAAAUUUAUAUGGAUAAUGCAGCUAUACAUCCAACAGGGGGAAGAGCCACAGACAGCCAGGAAGCUUUAUGUUGAGUGUCAAACUGAUUGAAAAUAGUUUCACACUAAAAAGUACGAUGGUGCCAAGACUCGGGCAUCAUAACCACUUCUGUGAAAUGAAGAGGUUUAUCUUCACUGUCCAUUUGAAUAUCUGUGGGCAAUGUUAAUUUGAGGUGGCAUUUUCAUUUUUGAAAAAUGUGUUUACAUUGUGAACUGGUUGUAACCACUGAAUUUGUUGACCAUUCCGUGUGCAUUCCACCCACUUUUUAAAUUUUUUUAUUUUUUUUUUAAAUUAGUUUUGCUUUACUGAUAACACAAUGCUACAGGAAUCAUACUUAUCUAGAAGGGCAUUAGUUCAUGUGGGUAUGAAUACUUUUGUUGCACUAAGCAUCUGUUUUUAAUAAUUCUACCCCAACCCCAGCAAGGCAGUUACACCAAAUUAACCCAAAUCCUAUCUGUAAUACCCCAAGUUAUCACUUGGGUUCACUAGAGCCGAGACAGAUCUGAUUAAUAUUUUAAAGUUUGAAGAAAAAAAAAAUCUCCAUUCAUUUGUUUUACUGUUUAAAGUAACUAUUUAGUAGGUAUACCCCUCCCCUUCUCGGUAAAAAAAACAAAGCAUGCUUGUGUUUAUUUUUCUGCAUUUUUUGUAGCCCUGCUAUCGGCAGCUGAUGCAAACCAUCCCCUCUUUCUCCGACAGACUUUCAGUAUGUGCCAGGGAAUGAAUCGGUCAGAUGCUCCUCAUUGAAGAGCCUCUGUGCUGGAUCUCCAGUGCUUCUCAUAGAAAUGGGAGGGAGGGGGGCAGAAGCAUUAGGCACAUUCACAGUCUUCAUGAGGAGGCUGAAAGUGAACAUGUGAAAAAAGCUGAAGGUCUUUCGGACAAAUGUAAACAUGAGCAAUUCUCAGACACCUACAAAUGUCUAGCAGAGCUUGCAGAUCUUGCCCUACAAAUCCAAUCAAUGAUGAGCAUCUCAACAUAUGAUCCUUCUGUACUUUUUGUUUUAUCAGAGCUCUCUUUUCAUGUCACAGGUUGGAAUAUCCCUUGCAUGAAUUAAAACUAAUGCUUCUCAUGAAGCAUUGGUUUUAAUGCUUCUCUAUAAGAUGUGUGAUCAUAUCACGGUGAUAGCUGAGCAUGUGCCCUGUCUGUGUUUUUUUGUUGUUGUUUUUUUCCGUUUUGUUUUUGGUAAAAGUCCUCAGUAGUGUGUCUUGAAAGGAUUUCUCCCACUCCUUCCCAGCACCAUACCUAGUUCAUCUAAUUUAAGGUUAAGGUUUACAUGGCUGAUCUGUGAAUCUGGCACAAAAAUGGUUAAAUAUUCUUGUCCAUUAUUAGUUUAAAAAUUAUAUACACCAAAAAGGCACUUCAAUCUGUGUUAUAAAAGGUGCACUCCAAGCAUCAUAUGCACAACAGCCUGCUGAAUUUCCUGAGACUCUGAGUAAUUUAUCAAACCAUUUUUAGAACGAUUGAUUGAAUAACUUACCAGGGAGCCUGUCGCCACCACUCUGCUUCUCCUGCCAAUUGUCUUUGCAGAGUAGGCCCAAUAGGGGUAUUCGUUCUUUAGCUGAGAGUGCUCACCUGACUAUUUCAGACAAGGAAAGCAGCUCUACCAGGCAUUUGCAUCUUCUUUUCCAGCAGGAGAAAUUGGAUAGCUCCGUAGAAUAAAGCAGGAUCACACGUGUUUGCUGAAUAAAAUCAGCCGAACGUUCUUAAAGGAACACUAUAUAUAGUGUUGGGAAUAACAUGUAUUCCUGAUACUAUAGUGUUGAAGUGGCUGUUUAGGUGAAUAGCCCUGUCUCUCUGCAGUUAAAAGCUUAUUUUACUUUUUUUUUUUUUUUUCAACUCUGCGCUGGUCUCACGGAGGCUGGCUCCGCCUCAACCUUGACAAUCUCAGCCAAUCCAAUGCUUUCCCAUUGGAAAUCAUUGCAGGAGACUAUUGCGCAUGCACAGCUGCUCCAGUUUGAAUCAAUGCAUAUCUAUGGAGAAUGUUCGGCGUCUGCAUGCAAAGUGUGGAGAUGCUGAAGGCCAGUGCUGCACACUGCAGAACUGACACAGGAAGCACCUCUAGUGGCUGCCUUAGUAACUACCACUAGAGGUGUUGCUAGCCAGCAAUGUGAAAACAGUGUUAAUAGUGCUAACACUGUACAUUAAGCUGUAGUGGUUCUGGUGGCUAUAGUGUCCCUUAAACCAAUUAGUGGGGUCCUGCAUCCACUGUGCUUUAUCUACAGAGACUGGAUGUGGAUCGGGCACCCAGUGCGAAAUUGUGCCAGGGCACUUCUGGCUCCGUAACCACUAUAGUGCGUUGUAGUGGUCAUGGAGCUUGUAGCGUUCCUUUUAAUAAAAAUAAACUUGGGCCUGCUGCUACACACACUCUCUACUUCUAUCUGCCUGUUUGCAUCUUUCGCUCUGACAUUAUUUAUUCCUUUCCCCCCAAGCCAUGUCAAAAUACGAAAGUGUGAAUUGCAUGCAGGAACAAGUUGAUCCGAAAGUUGCUGUGAAUCCGAUGCUUCUGUGUUUGUUAGGUUUACAUUGAUUACUUAGAAUGUUUUUUUUUUUAAUUUUUUUUUAAUCCUAACAGUUACAAAUGCUGGGCUACGAUAUUAGUUGGGCUGCCUUCAAUAUCAUCGAAGUGAUGAGCGCCUCCAAGUUUACAUUUAAAGUAAGUGUCUAGAACAGAAUUUUGUCACAGACACAGAGAUCCAUGAUAUAUGUCGGCCUCGGCUGCAAAAUCAUAACCACACGUCUUUCUGUUUUCCAGAGGAUUGGUUAUUUAGCUGCAUCUCAGUGCUUUCAUGAAGCGACAGAUGUCAUCAUGCUGACCACAAACCAAAUUAGGAAGGUGAGUGUUGCACGCAUCUAGUAGUUUCUAUAGUUUUUAUAUAUAUAUAUAUAUAUAUAUGUGUGUGUAUAUAUAUAUAUAUAAUAUUUUUUUUUAUUAUGUUAUGUUAAGUAUUUGCAGAUAAAUAUUUUCAUGUUGGCUUAGUUUACUGUUACUGUGUUACCCUUUAGUAUUCUUGACAAAGAGAAUGCUAAGUUUUCCCGAUUUCUCUUUACAGGACCUGAGCAGCCCCAAUCAAUAUGAUACAGGUGUGGCUCUCACCGGUUUGUCCUGUUUCGUCACUCCUGAUCUGGCCAGGGACUUGGCUAAUGACAUUAUGACACUGGUAAGUUUGCGGUUAGCCUUGCAGUGUCCUCACUUCAAUGAAUUUAGUAAAGGAACAUGUCCGUUAUUGACACUGUUCUGAGUGUAUUUUCAUUCAUGUACUUAUUAUACAAGAUGUUGCCCAAAUUCUGUUGUAGUUUCUUUUGAAUUGUGGAUGGACUCCGUGCACACUAACUUUUUAUGAAACCUAGGUUUCUCUGACAUUAAUAAGUUCAAGUUCAAUUUUUCAUUUAUUUACAUUUCUGGUUUCGAUCCAUUUAAAAAAAGGCACCUCGUCAAUUUUAUUUUAUUUAUUUCAUGAUAUUAAUUUUGAUUCCACAAUGGUGAGUUAGAACAAUCUCAGAUCAGGAAGCUAUCUUUGGCAAUGUGAAAAAUAAAAUGAAAUGUUGAAGUCAACAUCUCUUUAUUUUGCAACUGAGCGCAUCCAUCUUACCUUUUUAUCAAUUGUCAUAAGCUACGCACCAGGCAGUCAACAUCGAGAAAACCUACACAGAAAUUAAAUAAUGUUUCUACUUUACCCUGGCUGUGUGUGGACUAAACUGGCUUGUGACAGAGACCCUGAGUGCAGCAUGAUUCUUGCUCUCUCGCUAUUCCCCUACCCCCUCCCCCCCCAUUCUGCAAUGCUAGUUCUCCAUAAUUGGCAAACCGUAGAUGUUGUAAUAUCAAUUGAAUAAAGUAGCAACUGGGCAAUGUGAGCUAUUUCAAAGUGAAAUAAGGAUGAUACAUAAUUAAGGCUUAAAGAAACACUACAGCAUUAGGAAUACAAAAAUAGCACAUGAAAAAUGUUACCACGCGUUAUAGAUGUUUUUUUUAAAAAAAAAAUUCAUAUGAUCGUUCCCCUAAAACAUUUUUUUUUUUUAAAUUCAUUUCUGUUUUGUACCUUUCAGAUGUCCCACACAAAGCCUUACAUAAGAAAAAAAUCAGUUCUGAUUAUGUACAAAGUUUUCCUGAAAUACCCAGAGUCCCUUCGUCCAGCCUUCCCACGCCUUAAAGAGAAGCUGGAAGACCCUGAUCCAGGUAAGCAUCAGAAAUCUCAAAACACGAGUAAUCAUUCAGCUGCCAAAACAAUCCUGAAAAUAUGACUCUCUUGUUUCUACAUUUCCAGGGGUGCAGUCUGCAGCUGUAAAUGUCAUCUGUGAACUUGCCCGCCGGAACCCUAAAAACUACCUGUCACUGGCCCCACUGUUUUUCAAGCUGAUGACCUCAUCGACCAACAACUGGGUUCUCAUUAAAAUAAUCAAGCUGGUAAGUGGAGGACUAGUGUAUUGUUCCUCAUUAGCAGUUUCCUUGAAGUGUUACAUUCACAGCUCACAUUAAGCGUGUGACUAAAAAUGAAACCACAUGUACAGAUUUUGCAGGUGUUAGCGUGAGAGAGAUUUAGACUUAUUUUAACUCGUUUGAUGAAACUUGGUUUCUAAACCUUGUUUUUAUGCAGUAUACAAACCGUAUUUUAUAUAUAAAUUCUGUUACUUUGGUUUUAUUUAUUAAAAGCAGAAGUCAUUCCUAGAAUGUGCACUUGAUUUGCACUGCACUGCUAUAUAAUAUACACUAGUAGACGUUGUUGUUUGGCAUUCAGUAACUUUGUCUGCAAUUUAAUUCCUUUUUGUUUUUGUGCAUCAACAAAAUGAGCCUUAAUUGAUCAAUUACAACCUUUUGGUUUUCUUCUUACCGAGUUAAUAAUGACUCUCUCAUACUGUAGUUUGGGGCACUUACUCCCUUGGAGCCAAGGUUGGGGAAGAAACUGAUUGAACCUCUCACAAACCUGAUACACAGGUAAAAUUAUGUAAACACGGUCUCUGCUUAUCUGUCUAUAUUCAGCUAUAAAUACAAUCCAAUAGAGCACACUCAAUAAGUUUAGCUAAAGUUCCAAUAGAAUUCAAUGAAUACAAAUAGAUAAUCUAGAAAAAAAAUAUAUAAACCGCGCAUAGCGUAAAACUGUAUAGUAAGUACAAUUUAAGGUAGAGGGUGGAAAAAACUCACAUGAUAUUUUGGCGCUUUAUGAAUGCCAGUAAUAAAUAAAUAAAUGAUGCACAGCCGUACCAGGCUCUGUCUAAGAAGGCCCUUGGUAGAUUCACAGCAGCCACACAACAAAGAUCCAGAUGUAUAAAAAAUGUUUAUUAAAGUAGUAAAUAAGAAUAAAAAAAAUUGUAUGUAAAAAGAAAUGUAUGUGUAUAUACAUAUUAAUGCUAUAAAUUAAGAACAGGAUAAUAUGCUAAAUAUAUGCAAAGUAAAAAAAAUAUAUAAAAUAGUCCGAAGUAUUGUAGGACCUUAUCACAGGCAAUGCCAAACCCUGAUGAAACUGUCUCUCAGCAGACGUGUUUCGACCACAGCAAGGUCUUCUUCAAGGUGCUAUAGAUUCUUCAUGGAUCUUUCGGGUUUUUAUACCUCACAAAGGUUUCAUCUCUGAUCACUGCGUCCCCUUGCAGCAAUUACCUUCUGGCGCAUUUGGACACUGAUGUCCCUUCCGAUACCUGCGUGUGACAUCACUCCUGUACGAGCGAUCUGCCCACAGUUAGUCAAGGGAUUCCAUAGUAAUUCAGGGCAUAAGAGUUUGUCCGACACGGAGAGUAAUCCAUCUUCUAAGUUGCUGAUCAAUUCUUAAAAACUAAUAUAAAUCAUUGAGAAUUAACCCAAUGGCCUUGUAAGAAUAAAAAAAAAACAGUCUUGUAUUCAGAAUAGAAAUUAUACAUAUACAAAGGCAGUGUAUACAAGUCCAUAAGUUUACUAAUAUAGUGUAUACUUAUUGAGUGUGCUUUAUUAGAGGGUUUUUAAUUGAUGUAUAUUGUGUUGUGUUGGAGGAGCACAUUAUACCUUCUACACACACAGGGCACCGACAUUGUUAAUUUUUUAAUCUUUUUAAAGCGUCUAGACAUGUUUUUAUGGUUAUCUAUCUUAAUUAUGUGUUAAUAUAAUCUGGCUAAAUUGUAGGGUAAUCGACUUUACACAUAUAUUGAUAGUGUCUCUGCACACAAAACAUGUAGAUUGUAAACCAUAGCUCUAAAGAUUUAGGAGCUUUUUUCCACUGUAUGUCUGUUUACAUUAUUUUAAAUUUUUGAAAAAAAAGAUAUAUAUUUUUUUAAACUUGGAAAGAGCAUUGGUGAGAAUAUUUCAUGAACACAUAUUCUUCUGUAUUUUUCGAUUACAUUGUAGGGUAACUUAACGAUGAUCAUUCUGUUUAAUCAGUCAUCCAGAUUACAAUUCACACACCAGAUGUCUGCUGAUUAUGUUAUACUGAUGUAUUGAAAACCUUUUAUAUGCUCAAUGCUGCAUAUUAGAACAAUAACCUCUUAUGGACUUAUAAUGGCCCUUGUAGCCAGAACAGUCUGUUUUUUAAGUAUGCAAAUUCUGAAAUGGAAUAAAUCGCUAAAUUAACUACACAGCUGCGUGUGUAAUAAGUGUUACAGUACAAUGUAAUAGUUUAGUCCUUAAAGAGAUACUCCGCUACCCAAAUGAAAAAUAAAUAAAUUUGCUGUUUAGUAGAUAUACACCCAAUGAAAACAUGCAUGAAUUUAAUUAUGCAUUUUGUUCCACUGGGGUUAUAUCCUAAAAACAGCUUGCCAAAGCUGCAGUUAAUUUACCUAAAGUCUUUGCAUUGCUCAUCUUCUAACCCCGCCCAGACUUUGUGGCUGUCCAAUCACACACUUCCCCAAAUGCAGCUCAAUGAGAAGGCGGGUGCUCUGGGCAAUUGCCUGUCUCCUGAAUUAAGCUCCACUGAGCUAAACAAACCAGGAAGUAACAGGACCUGUUGUCUGCUUGAAAGUCAAUGGGUGUAACCAGGUUCAUUUAUAAAAGUGCAAAUUUCUAUUGCAAAAAUAGAACACUCUCUUCACACACAUAGUAUUUCAUCAAGUUAAAGUGCUUAAGGGAUAUGUAGUAUAUCUUAAAGUAAAUGUGUGUUGUAUUGCUUUCAUUAUACAGAGGAGGUUCAAAUUUAAAUAUUACACCUUUGUCGGGUUACAUUUGGCUUAAAGAAACCCUAUUGUGUAAGGAAUACAGUUUUGUCAUUAUUUCAGAAAUGACAUGGGUACAUUCAAGGAGCGUUCAAAGAAUCAUGUCUUCUGCUACUUCUGUAUAUUAAUCCCUCAGUGGCUAUGGUGUUAGAAAGCAGUCUAUGGAAACAGAUUUCUAAAUCAUUGCCUUCCCCUUAUUUUCAUCUUGAUUUGCAGAGCCUGGGCUCCGCCCUCUACCAAGUGAUGUCAUAUGGGGAAGUCUAGCUUUCCUACUGAAUCAUACAAGUACUUGGAAGGCAUGAGCCCCCCACCUCCCCCCUUUUUUUUUUUUACCAUGCAAUCAAAUCAAUACUAAUUAGCAUUUAUUAAAUUGUGUAAAAUAUUUAGAACCAACGAUUGAGUCUUUCUCGAGCUGUGCACAGUGCUUAUGAUAAGUGCAAGCUUACGACACAGUUUUUGCUCAUUAUUGAGGCUGACCAUCUGAGCAGGGUGUGUUCCCACGCCAUAUGAAUAUAGUUCAGUGGGAAAAGCUAGAGAUCUCCAUCUGGAGUUAUGUUUUUGUAAUCUGUACAAUAAGUUGUUGGGCAUAACCUAUAACUACUAAUACUACUAUCAGUUUUAUGUCAAAACAACUUUAUUUUAGGAAUGUGUUUCAUUCAGUUUAUUGCCCACUGUAUUCUACGAAAGGAUUAUGGACUAUGGGGCAAACCACUCGUAUGACGAUCCUUUGUGUUUUCUCUUGAUUGUGCAGAGCAGGGGUCCUCAAAUUCCGGCCCCCCAGAUGUUGCUGAACUAUCUUUGAAUUACAUAGAUAGCCAGAGAAUCAUGGAAGUUGUAGUUCAGCAACAUCUGUGGGGCCGGAGUUUGAGGACCCCUGGUGCAGAAGAAAGAAAAAUCCCAUCCAUUCUCUUUCCAUGUGUACCUUGUUUGCAGUGAACCUUGGUUCCAUAAGUGAAUCUUCAUUUACGUGUUUUCUUGAUAACUGCCUAUUUUGUUUCUUACAGCACAUCUGCAAUGUCUCUCCUGUAUGAAUGUGUGAAUACCGUUAUAGUAGGUAAGUGACUGUUUUUGGCUUGUUUGAGCAAUCACAGCAGAUUUUCCCCCCCUCCCUUCAACAUCCAUUUGUAUUAAAUGGUAAAAAGCUUGAGCAUACCUUGUUCCCAAUCAUGCCUUUGUAUUUUAAAUGUAGUUAAUGUACCAUUUUGUAAUUUGAUAUUGGUUAUGUUAUCACUCAGCAGUUUAAUUGCUUUUCCAACAGUAUUGAUCUCGCUGUCAUCAGGAAUGCCCAACCACAGCGCCAGUAUUCAGGUACUGUAAUCUCUCUCUAUUUCACUUCUGCUCCGUCUAAAAUAAGAAUAAAAAAAAAUAACACACAAAUUGUCUUUUCUUCUUCCAGCUGUGUGUGCAAAAGUUACGAAUUCUGAUUGAAGAUUCUGACCAAAAUUGUGAGUGAAAUCAUCAGGGUCCUCAACUUUUGCAAUAAGUAAGGAGGUAUUCUCAUGGUGGCACAUAUUAUAAUUUAAUUUUUUUUUUUCCUGUUACCAUUUUCAUUUUCCAUAGUAAAGUAUCUGGGCUUGCUAGCCAUGUCCAAGAUCCUGAAGACUCACCCAAAGUCUGUCCAGUCUCACAAGGAUCUAAUCUUGCAGUGUUUGGAUGACAAGGAUGAGUCAAUCAGGCUUCGAGCAUUGGAUUUGUUGUACGGAAUGGUAAGGGGAGACCAUGUUUCUGCUGUAGAGCUAUUGUGUACUCAAGGAUUAGGUGCAUUUAUUAGAACACCCUCUGAAUUGGAAAUAUACAUGCUGUCUACUUAUUCACUCUUUUUUCUUUUGCCUGUUACUGCACACUGUUAGUCUGUGGGAGAUCUAAAAUUGUGGAAGCUAGAGGAUAUGUGUCCCUCAAAUUAUUAGCAGCACAGAUUAAUUUCCCCACUCGUACAGUCAUCCUGGGGCAAAUGUGUGCAGGGCUGACAAUGCUGGUCAUACACUGAGUCAAACCUUGCAUGUGGUCUUGAAUGGCCUGAAUUGUAUUACAAUUGUAGCAAGAUCCCUUUUAAAUAAAUAAUUGUGCUGGUCUUUCCAACAGUCCUUCUGACAGAACUGCACUUUUGUGUAAUAGCGAGGGCUAUACCUAAAUAAGUCUUGCUGUCAAUUCAUGCAAUGUGAAAUACACACACAUAUAUUCGGAAUACGUAUUCAUUUUUAUGUGGGUGUAUCUCACAUUGUGCAGUAGUUGUAGAUUAUUUUUUUUGUCUGUGUAUUAAGCAGUGUACACGAAUUGCCGCAGGAAUAUUUUUUUAUUUUUCCUUUUCUGAAUCUGACACAGUAAUAUCAGUUUAUUAUUAGCAAGUACCUUAAAAUCAGUUCCCAUAAUGUAUUUUAAUUUUAUUGUUCAAACAAUAACAAUAUCAUGUUAGUCAUUUUUUUUCAGUUGCUAAAGUCUGUUCUGCCAUGUUAACCUAGUUGGUCAAGUAAUUACAAAGUCUUUCAUAUUGUUCAAAUCAAUCUGUAGGGAUGUGCAGUUUUUUCCCACAUUUUUUUUUUUUUUUGGCCAAUGAAAAAUAAAAGCGAUAGGCACUGCUUGUCAGAUGAUUGGAAUCCAUUCUUUACUGUGCAUUAACAGCUAGUAAAGUUUGUGAAUAUGCUUUCCAAUACAUGCUUUCUGAUAAAAACACUAUUAUGUAAGUGAUUAGCUCUCCUACAGAUACAUACAUGUGCAAUAUCCACCAUCUUCUAAGGUAAAACUCACAAACCUUAAUACAAUGAAAUGGAAAUUAAAAUAUAUGUGUAUGUCACUUUAAAUAUCACGCAAGUGAAAAGUAAUGAAAAAUAUACUGAUAUAAAUAUUCGUUUGAUAAAGACAUUCUCCAAUGCUUUAUCACUGUCUUUUUUUUUUUUUUUUUUAAAGUAUGUUAAAGUACAAAGAAAUCCAUACACUUAGAAACAGAUAAGCGCUAAACAAGCUCCUUCUGGCCCCGUGUGAUGAACUGCAAAAGUCCUUACAAGCAGUAAGCACAGAUUUAAAUCCACAGUUUCCACUAUUAACUGUUUUAAAACCACGGCAUCAACACUCCUUAAGCAGCCACCAAUACUGAAAGAUCACUGUUGCCAAAUAUGACUGGAUUUGUCAGAUUUUGCAACGAGGUCAUUUUAUACAAAAUUAAGCACCUGCACUCAAACUCCCACUACUUCUCAGCUGCAGCAAUGUCUAUUGUACACAGCCCCAACGCAUAAAAUAAAAACCAAAGAAAAGAGUUACUUGCGCACUAUUCCAUAUCUCUAUGUCUUUUUAAAUAACUGGAGGUUUAUUUUAGUAUCACUCUAAUGGCCAUUUAAGUGUAAGCACACCUGCCACAUCAUAGGAAAACCUCUUUGAGUCCUACACAAACAAUUCACCUUUCUUCUUUCAGCUUAAAGGUAAAAUCUCUGAGAUAGAAAUGGUUAUUUUUUUGUGGGGGAGGGGAUUGCAAGUAUUUUAUGCUUCUGUCCAACAUUAGUGGAAGUUUGAGUGCAGGGCUUAAUUUUGUAUGUUUGCUUUUUGUAUUAAACAGCCAUGUUAAAAUGCUGCAGCACACCCAAUGUGUUUCUUAAGGGUUAAUAAGUGUGACAGGGUUUAGAAAAAUACCCCUCUCUAGAGACUUCACCUUUAAGCUGAAGAAGCCAGGUGAAUUGUUAGUGUAGGACUCACGUAAGGUGUUUUGCCUUGAUGUGGUAGGUGAGCUUACACUGAAAUGGCCAUUCUAGUAAUACCAAAAAAACUCUGGUUAUUUAAAUGUUCGUAGGGAUUUGGGAUAGUGCACAAGUAACUAUUUUCUUUAGAGAUCUUUCCUGUGCUGCCCAAUCUCUCUUAAACAACCUUAAAAAGCCUCACAAAAAUCUGACUGCCUGUCACUCGGAACUACGUGUCUCUGGGUGUCGGGUAAUAAGAGUUUCACAUCCUUGGUAUAUCUAAUUGACAUAGUGAGUUCGUAGUCAUAUCAAUUGAUCAGUUCCACAAUAGAACACCACCCCCAAAUCAGUGGAGUUUGUGAUAAAAAAAGGGAAAAAGAAAUCGGACGUGAAGUUCAUAUAUACUGAUUUUAUAUUGUCUUCCACCUAUCAUUAAUAAAAAUUCACACUUUUUUUUUGCCAACUUUUAGAGUAUGGUCUAAUAUUAUUUAUGGUGCAUAUAUAUUACUAAAUUUUCACUUGGUGCUAUUGAUCUUGUCGAUUCAUGUAGGUGUCCAAGAAGAACCUGAUGGAAAUUGUUAAAAAGUUGAUGAUCCACGUUGACAAAGCAGAAGGCACUGCCUACAGGGACGAGUUACUUACCAAGAUCAUUGACAUCUGCAGUCAGUCUAACUACCAGUACAUCACUAACUUUGAAUGGUGGGUGCUGAGUCCUUUCCUACUAGUCUGUAAAGCAUAACACUGCACAUAAAUUUCUUUCAAAAACCCAAAAAAUCUCUACCAUGUUUCAUUUUGUUGUAUUCCUGCAAAAACUUUGUUUCUUAUAAGCUUAUUAGAAAGUACUGUAAACAAAAAUAGAAAUUUGCCACAAAUGUUGAUACGUUGAUAUUUUAGGUACAUAAGCAUUCUUGUGGAGCUGACGCGUCUGGAAGGGACUCGCCACGGCCAUUUAAUAGCAGCUCAGAUGCUGGAUGUGGCUAUCCGAGUGAAAGCCAUCCGCAUGUUUGCGGUGUCUCAGAUGGCCACACUGCUGGACAACGCACAUCUACUCGCCAGCAAUACACAGCGCAAUGGCAUCUGUGAGGUUCUGUAUGCGGCUGCAUGGAUCUGUGGAGAGUUUGCAGAGUAAGUAUUGGGUCCUUUUUUUUUUUUUCUUUCUUUUUUUUUUUAUAACAUUUCUUAUGUUAUAGAAUUGUAGAAUGGAAUUUAUAGGUGCUAUAUAAAGAAUAAUGUUGAUAAAGUCCACCUCCAUUUUAGCACACCAUGUGUUCUUCUUAUGAACUGUCUUAAUGCUUUAUUGCUAUGUUAUCUGUCAUAAAUGUAAAAGUGAAGUUAUUUGAGGUUCUAAGCCUUGUCCUUCCUAUCGAAACCUUUAGACAACUGCCAGAGCCACACCAGACACUGGAGGCAAUGCUGAGACCGAAAGUUACUACCCUGCCGGGGCACAUCCAAGCGGUGUAUGUGCAGAAUGUAGUUAAAUUAUAUUCCUGCAUACUACAGCGUAAGGAGCAGGACGGAGAUCAGGAGGCAGCGCAGGAGAUCACACAACUUAUGAUCGAUCGGCUUCCUCAGUUUGUUCAGAGCGCUGAUCUGGAAGUACAGGAGAGGGUAAGUCACUAAGGCCUCGAUUUCAGUCUUUUAGAUAAACUUCAGAAAUGUUCACAAUCGGUUAGAUAAACUUUUCAAAUGAUUUAUCAACAAAUAAAAAAAACAUUCUAACACAUUGUAGUUAUUUGAAAAGCUUAUCCAAAAGAAUUAAAAAUUGAGGCUCACUGAAGCAAAUUAUUGCAUACCCAUCACCAUAUCAAUCUGAAUUUUAAAGGGUAACUGUUAUACCGGGUGGGCCGAAAUUCAGAGUAGGAUUUGACCGGUAAAUAACUUACUUGUUAGAGGUUCAUUUUUAUUUAUUUUUUUUUAGUCUUGAGAGAUUUAUAAUAAUAAACAACAAUUGAAAAUAUUGGCGUUACAUUUUCAAAAUGGCAGGUGUAUGAUUGACAAUUGGUUACGUACUGUAGUGGAGAAUGAUCCUGAAAUGUGGUUUCAAUAGUAAGGGGCUACUGCCCAUAUAGCUAGGACAACAAGGGAACUCCUAAGACAACUGUUGAGGUAGUGAAAAAUUUUGAGACAUUCCCAGAUUAAUUGGCCGCCACUUUUGCCCAACCUUUAGGCCCCUGAUUAUGAUGUCAUCUUUCUUACCCAGUCAAAGGAAUCUCAUACGUUACGCAUUCAUUGUAUGUAAUAUCAUUAAAACGUGUUCAUUAAUAAAAAAAAGUUAUUGACUCCUCAAACCCUAUUCUGAAUUUUGGCCCAGCCUGUAAUAAUAAUAUAGAUUUUUGUUUUACAACCCUUUUAGUACAGUAAAUGUUAUUAUGGUGCUUUCUGAUAACAGGAAAACGUGAAUAGAAAAUCUGUUUUUCUGCUAACUGCACAAAGUAAUUAGUGCUGCCAUUAUUAACAUUAAAACGUUAGUGCUACUUACACAAGUCUUUGAUUUCCUCUAUUCUUUAAAGUGAUGUCCGCUCAUACAGCUGAGGUCACAUUGACUCGAGUGGGAGUAUAUAUGUAUGUGUACAUAUAGAGGUGGGGGGGUGUAUGUGUAUAUAUGUGUGUAAUAUAAUAUAUAUAUAUGUGUGUGUAUAUGUAUAUAUAUAUUAAAAAAGUAAAGGGAGCACACUAAGACUACUUCUGAUCAUCUCAUUGGUAAGAUCUAUUUCACUUAUAUGUAUAUAUUGUUGUAGACAUUAAUGUUUCACUGUGAUCUUGAUAAAGACCCCAGGAGGGUCGAAACGUCGAUUUUCUGUACUCUGCACAGGACAUGUAUUAUUUUAUAAUACAGUAAAUACUGUUUUUUUUUUCCACUCAGAAGUAGUCCUAGUGUGCUCCCUUUACUUUCUAUAUAUUUUACGCGUGAUUGCACCUAGGCAAUUUUUAAUCUGUUUAAUUAAGUUCUAGGAGGAGUGCCUUGCUUACCUAUUUUUAUAUAUAUAUAUAUAUAUAUAUAUAUAUAUAUAUAUAUAUAUAUACACACACACACACACACACACACACACACACACACACACACACACACACACACACACACACACACACACACACACACACACACACACACACACACACACACACACACACACACACACACACACACACACACACACACACACACACACACACACACACACACACACACACACACACACACACACACACACACACACACACACACACACACACACACACACACACACACACACACACACACACACACACACACACACACACACACACACACACACACACCCCCCCCUCUCUAGAGAUUUUGCCUUUAAGCUGAAAGAAGCAAGGCGAGUUGUUAGUGUAGGACUCACUUAAGAUGUACCAAAUGAUACAAAAAACCUCCAGAUAUUUAAAUGUUUGUAGGGAUUUGGGAUAGUGCUCAAAUAACUAUUUUAUUUUUAUUUUUUAGUAUAUAUUAACCAAAGUAAUUUUAUUUAUUUAAUACUUUUCGUAUAAGUGAAAUAUCUGCACUAACUAACAAGGACAUAUUUUAAAGGAACUCUUUAGCUAUACAAUCCUGUUUUCAUAAUGCCAGAGUGUUGUUAUAACUAUUUAGAUUAUUUCCUAGCUCAGGGGUGCCCAAAAGGUAGAUCCCCAGAUGUUUUAAAACUACACUUACCAUGAUGCUUUGUCAUACUAAAGGCAUUCUUAAGACUUGUAAAGCAUCAUGGGAGUUUUAGUUCUACAGCAUCUGGAAUCUAACUUUUGGGCACCCCUGUGCUAGAUUAUAUGCCCCCAGCGCACGUCAUGGUCAUCCUGCCUCAGCUGGCUGACAUUAUUAUUACUAAUAAUUUCAACCAAUCCAAUGUUUCUCAAUAGGGAAGCACGGAGAGUCUAGUGCGCUGCACCAGUUUGCAUCUCCUCAUUAAGAUACAUUGAUUCAAUGCAUCACUAUGAGGAGUGCAUGGCGUCUUCUUGAAAAACGGGGACACAGAAUGCUAUUCCUGCAAUUUUUGCAGGACCACAUCCAGGAAGUGCCUUUAGUGGCUCUCUGAGUGACUGCAAGUAGAGGUGGAAACAUACAUUCCCUUAAAAAUCUGUAUUUACCUAGAACCUCUAUUCAUAUUCAAAAAGGGACAUUCUCCCUUAUCAUCUCACCUGCACCUAUGCUAGAUUACUUUCAUGACAAUCACAACACUUUAGCUAAUAACCUGCUAAUAUGCCUGAUUUUCAUGAAUUCCAUUAACAAAGCCUGGCUAGUUAUCUACAGUGAAACCAAACUAAAACAUUGCUUCUUUCAUUCAUUUUGUUUUUGCUCGUUUUUGGAACGGCUUUCAGACUGCUGUGAUCUGUUUUUCCUUCUGCAGGCUUCUUGCAUAUUGCAACUCAUCAAAUACAUUCAGAAGCUGCAGGCUAAAGAUGUCCCAGUGGCCGAGGAGGUGAUGGCUUUGUUUGCAGGAGAAUUAAACCCUGUGGCUCCCAAAGCCCAGAAGAAAGUCCCUGUUCCGGAAGGGUAUGCAAUUGUGACUUUUUAAAGAUUUUUUUUUUUUUUUUUUCUUGUUGUUCUAAACUUUGCACAUCAGGAAAUAGUUUUUAAAUAUGUUCCAACACAUUAAGUGAUAUGAGCUCAAGAAACUAGAUAAUUUUAAUAAAUUUAAAAUUGUAACCUGGUCAGGAUUGAGUAGGGUUAUGAAUUGUGUAAAGUUGGUUAUAAACUGCGAACACUUUCAACCUUGAAAGACCCGCAGGGGUCGAAACGUCGGUUGGUUUGUUUUGCGUUAUGCACAUGAUUUAAAUAAAUCAGAAUAUAUUUUUUCACCAAGUUCUGUUAGUGCAGCCUGGAUGCCUAUUUUAUUACAUAUUGGACGCACCACGGAUGGCACCCAGGCGGAUAGAUUAGAAUACAAAGAAGGAGAGUGCCAAACUAUUUACUUUUAUUUAUAUAUAUAUAUAUAUAUAUAUAUAUAUAUAUAUAUAUAUAUAUAUAUAUAUAUAUAUAUAUAUAUAUAUAUAUAUAUAUAUAUAUACAUACACACACACACACACACACACACACACACACACUACAUUCCUAAAGAUAUUGAAAAUCCCAUUACUGCCUAUAACAUAAAGUUUAUUUUGGUCUCUCUUUUUUCUGCAGUUUGGAUUUGGAUGCAUGGAUAAACGAGCCCCCGUCAGAUAGUGAAUCUGAAGAUGAAAAACCCAAAGCCAUUUUCCACGAAGAGAAGACGACUCACACAAAGUCAUCUCGGCCAGAGGUUGAUGAGGACGAGUUGGCCAGGGUGUGUAUUAAAUAUCAUUUUAGUUUGGAAACCUUUAUUGUCGUGAAUGUGUUAAAAAGGCUUUUAAACUCCUUAACAACUUUGUACUUUGUUGCUUAUGCUGUUUUCCUGAUUAGUUUUGUUUCAUAAAAUAGCCAUUUGCUUCCCACUUACAACUCUCUAAUUUGCUUUGUAUCAUUUUGCUGUAUCGUAAAGUGUUAAUUCCAUAACACAUGGAAAACCUACAGUCUACUAUCUGCUCUUUGCAAACUUACUAGAUUGUCUUUCUUAAAGACGAAUGACAGUUAUGAUAUAGUAACUACUUUUAUGAAUAUUUGUAGCAAUUGUGAAACACAAACAUUGGGGGCCCAGAUAAAUGUCCAAAUUCAUAUGCUUUGGUUUUCUUGUUGACAUUUUUGUGUUAAUAUUGGCGUUUACACAAUUUAUUAAAUUGUACGCGCAUAUUCAGGGCCAAUCUGACAUGGACACCUACGUUGCCCUUAGUGGAUAACUAAAUGGACAUUUUAAAUUUUAAUUCUGCUUCUUCAAACUUGUCUGAAUUGGGUUAUAAAGGGCCGGAUCUGUACAGUUGCUCAUUUAUAAAAUAACAUAUUCCUUAGCACUGUUACGUUUGGCAUAGUGACCACUAGAAGUCUAUGGAAUAUAAAACUGAUAGAACUGGAGAUUCUGCCUUUGAGAGUUUACACUGUAUAUUUUCAGAUGUGAGAUAUGCCUUGCAUUUUGUUGCAUUGAAGUCUUAUGACGAUGUGAACUUUAUUGAAGUAAAGUGGUACUACAUAACAAAAACAAGCCUAGCCUUGUAACUUUAGGAAAUUGCUUCCCUUUGGAAUAUUUGCAGUUUAGACUAUAGUCACCAGAAAAACAGGUUAAUGUAGUUGUUCUGGUGAAUAUAAUAAUUGCCUGCAAGCCUUUUGCUGUUAACACUGUCUUUUCAUAGAAAACGCAGUGUUUACAUUGCCCUCCAGUGGCCACUCCUCAGAUGGCCACUGGAGGUGCUUCCUGUGACAGUGCUGCACAAUGUGCAGCACUGCCAUUCAGUGUCUCCAACCUAUGCAUGGAGACGCUGAAUUUUCCUCAGAGAUGAUUUGAUUCAAUGCAUGUCUUUGAGGAGGUGCUGGUUGGUCAAGCCAGCGUUUGUCCCCGCCUCCUGGCUGAUUUCAGCCAAUUCAAUGCUUUCCCAAUGGGAAAUCAUUGGAUUGUCUAAAAAUUUAAAAUUUUGAUGUCACUAAGGAGGCAGAUUGGGGGCGGUGACAGUGCGGCGCUGGAAAUAAGGUAAGUUUUAACCCCUUCUAAGGAGGUGAAGGCAAGCCACCUAAAUGAUGGUUUUAACGCUAUAGAGUCAGGAAUACAUGUUUGUGCUCCUGACCCUAUAGUGUUCCUUUUAAGGUCAAAGUAGCCGAACUGGAAGCAUAGCUGAAUUUUUAACAAAAUUUUUUGCAGUUAGACUAAUAAUUAUAGAUAUGAAAUUCACUUUGAAUUCUCACUUUAGUGAAUAACCCUUUUCAUCUCCUGGAUUCCACUCAAUUCAAUAAUCUUAAUUUCUUAUCUUUUUAUUCUCUCUUCUAGAGGCGAGCAGUACGGAAGGAAGAACAAGCAAAUAACCCAUUUUAUAUUAAAAGUUCUCCGUCCCCACAGAAGGUAAUUGAGACCAAUUAUUUUAAACACGUCAGUUUAUAACGUAGUGAAUAAUUAGUCGCAAGUAAUGUAAGUCAUUGUAUCCGGUGUGCAUCUAGUGUUGGAUGUACAGAACACUGUUGACUAGAAGUGCUUGAGACCGGCACUUCUAUAAGUCAUUGAUUUGAAGUUUGUGUAGCUCUCAUUGGUCAGGCCAGCGCUAUAUUUGUGCCACUGUGGUCAUGAUACAUAGAUUGUUUUGUUUAGAGAUUGAAAUUGCCACUCAUACUAAGGACAGUCUUUUAGUGCCGGGAUAGGCAACAUUUGGCACUCCAGAUAUUAUGGACUUAAUCUCCCAUGAUGCUUUGCCACCAUUAUGGCUAUAAGAGCAUUAUGAGAGAUGUAGUCCACAACACCUGGAAUGUGCGAAAGGUUGCAUUCCCUAGUUCUAAUGCAUGUUGUGUUUAACAUGUCCUUUUGUAACAGAUAUCUGAAGAUACCUGCUUGGUGCUGGGCGUACUCUUCCAUGUUUGUCUUGAUGUAUAUCCUUUGUUGUAUGCAUGUAUUUAAAUGGAUUUCCUUUCAUUACUCAGCUUUAUCAAGAAUCUCCCGGUGUUGAUCAUAUCCCUGUUGUGCAGAUAGAUCUCUCUGUGCCCCUUAAAGUCCCAGGUAUGCUCUCAUUAUUCAUUUAAAAAAAAACAUUUUUCUUCUUCCCAAUCCUAUGACUCGUCAUACUGUAUUUCAUAAAUCUUCCUCUCUAUCUCAAGGGCUGCCCAUGUCUGACCAGUAUGUAAAGCUUGAAGAAGAACGAAGGUCAAAGCAACGUCAGGAGAAGGACAAGAAGCGCAAGAAAGAAAAAGAUAAGAAAGGUGGAAAAACGAGGCGCCAUCGCUCGUUUCACACAGAGAGUGAUGAAGACAUCACUCCAGCCCAGCAUGUUGAUAUCAUGACAGAGGAGAUGCCAGAGGUUCGAUAUUAUCUGCUUGUCUACAUUGUGGGGACAUCUUGACUAGAAGGGCAAACUUUGCAUCAUAAAUCAUAGUAGCAAGUAGUUUAACUGUAUGCAAACUAUCCACUUAAAAGGACACUCUAAGCACCAAAAUAUUAGCUUAUGAAGUGCUUUUGGUGUAUAGAUCACACUUGUGCAGUCUCACUGCUCAAAUCUCUGCCAUUAAAAGGUAGCUGUCAAAAACAAUGUAUCUUAAAUGGUAGUAAAGUGUUAUCUGUACAUUGUUCUAGUCGAAUUGCUAGCAACUGUUUAGAUUUCUGUAUCAUUAUUGCCAUUUUUUUUUAGCGCCAACAGAUUCCGCAGCGCUGUAAAAUCAGAGAUUAAGAAAUAUCCUUUCCCCCCUCAUAGUCUAUUACAGGGGUAGGCAAUCAUCAGCACUCCAGAUGUUUUGGACUGCACCUUCCAUGAUGCUUUGCCAGCACUGAGGCUGUAAGAGCAUUGUGGAAGAUGUAGACGACAUCGGGAGUGCCUAAGGUUGCUUAUCCAUGGUAUUAAGUCUGUGCCAUUCAGCACAGAGAUAAGACUGUGAUCUGCGUGUCUAUUAUUAAGAAAAAAACUGCAAACAUAUGUCAUGACAGGUUCACUUUAAGGAGUUAAAUCCCUUUGUUCAUGCUGCCCUAGCCACACCUCACAGCCUCCCUACAUACUUCUUGUAAAUAGAGAUCACAAGGAUGCUCUGAAAGAGGACUGUGGGAGAUUGACAGAAUGUAUGUAAAUGUAGGUGAUCAAUUACUCAAUUGACUGGUUACAUUUUAAAACAAAGUGAUACCAGUUCCCUGCUUUUAAUAUCCUCAAACUCCAGUAUGAAAUUGCAAAUCCCUGCCUCCAAUAAAUACUGUUACACACACCAACAGCCUCACUACAGUGUGGGAAGAUUCAUGGGGAAGAGAGCGGAACUGUGAAUUAUAUUAACACUUUCUAAUAUAAUAAAGGCAGUGUUGGAUAAAAUGUAGCUGAAAUCUCAUAAACGUAUUAAGCGCAUAGGGGUGAAUGGGAAUAAAAAUGUUGCUUUCCAUUGUAAAUAGUUUUGGGCAGAGCACUCUUCACCUACUGUCCCAGUGGGUCAAUCAUGUUUUCUUAGAAUUUAGUGUUUGUUUAGUGCACAUGUUUUCAGUGCUGCGGAAUACAUUGGCGCUAUAUAUAUAUAUAUAAUUGUCGUUGUAUAUUUAGUAUCCAUGUUAACUGUGGUAGUUCUAGGUUGUUUUAGGCAUUUUAAACUUAUUUUAUGACAUUUAGCAUAUUAGUAUAAUGGUGAUCUGCAUCAAAUUCCUUUAUUUUCAAGAAUGAUUAUAGAUUACUGUUAAAGGGACACUCCAGGCACCCAGACCACUUCUGCCCAUUGGAGUGGUCCGAGUGUCAACUCCCACUACUCUUAACCCUGCAACUGUAAUUAUUGCAGUUUUUUUUUAUAAACUGCAAUAAUAACCUUGCAGGGUUAACUCCACCUCUAGUGGCUGUCUACUAGACAGCCACUAGAGGGCACUUUCUUGUCCACAGCACAGAAAACCUGUGCUAGAGCGUUGCUGGACGUCCUCACGCUGUGUGAGGACCUCCAGCGUCGCUCAUUUCCCUAUAGGAAAGCAUUGAAAAGCAUUUGAAAUGCUUUCCUAUGGGGAGCGCUAAUGCGCAUGCGGGGCAUUGCCGCACAUGCGCAUUAGGUCUCCCCGGCGGGCGGGAUCAGUCUCGCCCACCGGCCGACGCAAUCACAGGGAGGAGCGACGUGGGACAUUUUUCACCCCUUCAGCAACUGGGGAUGGGGUAUGGGAGGGAGAGGGGACCUGUAGUGCCAGGAAAACGAAUUGUUUUCCUGGCACUGGAGUUUCCCUUUAAUUGAUCAUUGUCCGUUCAAAAAAGAAAUAUAUUCACAAAUCUUUACAAAACAAGUGAAAAUCCGAGGAUGUUCUGAGAAGCAGGUGACCUAACUGUUAGGACUUGUUUUUUGAUUUUUGAUUCAUUAAUGUCUGUCAACAAAUUCUGAAAAUAAUUUUAACCCAUAACUUACUAAAUCAAGAGAUGUAAAAUAUGUAAAUUAGAUUCAAGGAGUAAAGAGGGACACAUUCUCACAGACUUGUUGACAUCCUUUCUUAUUGAGUGGUUUUUGUUUUAUAUAGCUUCCAGACCUUGUCACCAUAUUCUUAGUUUCAGUUAUUUCUAGUGUGUUGCAUUAUGUUAUUUCUUUAAGAUAACAUUUUUUUUACUUUUUACUUGGUUUUCUUUUUCAGAAUGCCCUGCCCAGUGAUGAUGAUGAUAAGGACCCUAAUGACCCUUACAGAGCCCUGGAUAUAGAUUUGGAUAAGUAAGUAAAACAGAGCAGUGAUGUCUACUGUAUUUUAUGAUGUUCAGCUCAGGGGCACCAAACGUAAGCAUGAUAAUAUCCCCACAAUGCAAAGAACUAUGUAUACGGUGCACUGUUUAACCCAGUCUGUUUCAGACCUAUCAUUAAAGAGGAAAUAAAAUUUAUUGUUUGAGUUAUCUUCCCCUUUGACUGCAAUAGGCCAGAUGGACAGUAAAGGGAUCAUCGCUACUGAUGAGAAACUUCUCUUGGAGUGCCUCCCUCGGUGCUGAAGGAGUUAAAACCCCUUCAGCCACUUACCUUAAUCCAGCACCGGGCUCCCUCGGAACUGGUGACCUCUCCUCCCCCGCCGACGUCACAUAACUUCUUUUGUUAGUAUUCUGUUUCUUAAAGGACCACUCUAGGCACCCAGACCACUUCAGCUUAAUGAAGUGGUCUGGGUGCCAGGUCCUUCUAGGGUUAACCCAUUUUUUCAUAAUUAUAGCAGUUUCAGAGAAACUGCUAUAAUUAUGAAUGGGUUAAGCCUUCCCCUAAUCCUCUAGUGGCUGUCUCAUUGACAGCCACUAGAGGCGCUUGCGUGCUUUCACUGUGAAAAUUCCGGUGAGCACGCCAGUCCAUAGGAAAGCAUUGUAAAUGCUUUCAUCGCUGGAAUGCGCGCGCAGCUUUGCCGCAUGCGGCGCAUCCAGCCGGGCGGGCGGAACGGAGAGAGAGCCAGCGCUGGAAAAGGUAAGUUAUUACCCCUUUCCCUUCCAGAGCCGGGCGGGAGGGUCCCUGAGGGUGGGGGCACCCUCAGGGCACUAUAGUGCCAGGAAAACGAGUAUGUUUUCCUGGCACUAUAGUGGUCCUUUAACCCCUUCAGACCGGAGGGCGUACUAUUACGCCCUAUUUUAGGCGGCUCUAAACGCCGCCGGGCGUAAUAGUACGCCCUCAUGUUUUUGUUUACUUACCCGGUCGCAGGCGAUCGCGGUUGGGGGGACUCCCAGGGACCUCCCAAUCACAUGGCCGGGUUAGCUGGCUGCUGUAUUGCCAGCAGGGGGACUGCCUGUAAUGACAGGUAGUCACUCUGCUGGAUGGAAAUAAAAUAAAGUAAUUUAAAGUGUAAAAAAAUAUAAUUAUAUACUUAGAUCAUAUAUAUAUACACACACACACACAUCACACACACUCACACUCACACUGUCUAGGUGUAUUUUACUAUUAAUAUAUAUAUAUAUUAAUAUCAAAUUACACGUAGACUGAUACUGAUUAAAUAUAUAUAUAUAUAAUUAUUGUUAUAUAUUUAUAUAAUAUAAAAAAAUUAAAAAAUAAAUAUGUAAAUACGUUAAAAAAUUAAAUAAAAAAAAAAUUAAAAAUAAAUAAUUAAAAAAUAUAUAGAUGUAUGUUAUUUUGUUCUAACUGUAUUGUGAUAAUAUAUAUUUAUAUCAAAAUACACGUAGACCGAAAUAAUAUAUAUAUAUAUAUAUAUAUAUAUAUAUAUAUAUAUAUAUAUAUAUAUAUAUAUAUAUAUAUAUAAAUAAAACAACAUCUUUGUCUGUUUUUUUUAUUUAUUUUUUUAACCCAAAUGAUGAAGCCUGUACGGCGAAACACAUCCUGGGAAUAGACUCUGAAACACUGGACUUGUAUUGCUGAAUUGGUGUUUUUUUUAUAUAUAUGUAUAUAUAUAUAUAUAUAUAUAUAUAUAUUGUAGCCGUAUUAGUCCAGUGAUGUAGAUGUAAAAAACAGAUAAAAUUCUUAUCUUGUAAUACCUUUUUUAUUGGACUAACAGAAUUUUUUAAUGACAAGCUUUCGGGAGACCCUCCCUUUCUCAAGUCUGAAGCAUUUCUGAGCAAAACGACACAUAGAAUUCAAAGUUGAGUUGUGAUACAGGGGUUAAAGCGACAUGAGUGUAGAUAAGACACAGGUUUGUUAGAAAAUAGACACCAUCUUAGCAGAGGGUCAUAAAUAUCUUGUUGAAGAGAAGAGUGAGGGGGGAGAGAGGGAAAAGAAAAACAAACAAGCAGACAGUGCACAGGAUGAUACACUUUAUACAUGCACACACACAGAAAUAUGUAUAUGUGAAUGCAUAAACACAUGUAUAUAUACAUAAACACAUAUACAUACAUGCACAUGGACUCAUAUACACAAAUAUAAAUGCACAGUAAUAUAUAUAAGCAUUCAUGCAUACGAGUAUGGGAAAGCAUAGGUCUACACAUAGUACUUUGUAUAUGGAUAGAAUAAACAUAUAGGAAUGCAUUUUAAAGUGUUGGUACAUAUGACAGAAUAGUAAGAUAAUGCUGGGAGAGUGUUCAUGUAAAGUGUUGGUAGUGGGACAGGAAUCCCAAAUCAAUAUUUAGUACUCUCUUCUUGCUGUUAAACCAUUUAAUCAUUCUGGCUUCAAAGGCUUUUCUUUCCUGGGUAUUUUUAAAACCCCCUUUCAGUACUUUGAUUUUUAGGUCCUGAAAAAUAUACAUAUAUUCUACAUAUAUAUUUAUGUAAUAUUUUUACAUUAUUAGGUAUCUUAAUUACAAUUAGCGGGACCUGCCUGACAACCCAUGCCGAAAGUAAAGGGAAUUUAAUUUUCUAUUACUAUAUUUAACCCUAUAACUUUCCAAGACACCAUAAAACCUGUACAUGGGGGGUACUGUUCUACUCGGGAGACUUCGCUGAACACAAAUAGUGUUUCAAAACAGUAAAAUGUAUUACAACGAUGAUAUCGCCAGUAAAAGUGACGUUUUUUGUAUUUUUCACGCACAAACAGCACUUACACGGACGAUAUUAUUGCUGUGAUACUUUUUACUGUUUUGAAACACAAAUAUUUGUGUUCAGCGAAGUCUCCCGAGUACAACAGUACCCCUCAUGUACAGGUUUUAUGGUGUUUUCAAAAGUUACAGCAUCAAAUAUAAGGCUUGUUUUCAUUUUUUUCACAUUAAAAUUUGCCAGAUUGGUUACGGUUGCCUUUGAGACCCUAUGGUAGCCCAAGAAUGAAAAUGACCCCUUUAAUGGCAUAUUUGCAAAGUAAGACAACCCAAGGUAUUGCAAACGGGGUAUGUCCAGUCUUUUUUAGUAGCCACUUAGUCACAAACACUGGCCAAAAUUGGCGUUUUUUGCAUUUUUCACACACAAACAAAUACUAACGCUAACUUUGGCCAGUGUUUGUGACCAAAUGGCUACUAAAAAGACUGGACAUACCCCAUUUGCAAUACCUUGGGUUGUCUACUAUUGCAAAUGGUAUGCCAUUAUGGGUGUAAAUUUCAUUCCUGGGCUACUAUACAGUCUCAAAGGCAACAUAACCUAUCUGGUGAAUUUCAAUUUCAAAUGUAACGUGCUAUAUUGGAUCCUGUAACUUCCCAAAACGCCAUAAAACCUGUACAUAGGGGGUACUGUCUUACACGUGAGACUUUGCUGAAUACAAAUGUUAUUUUAUUGCAGUAAAAGCAAACAGUAUUAUGACAUUGACAGUUAAAAUGUCAUGUAGAACUAAAAAAAUAAAAAGAAUUCCUAUUUUCUCCCAUUUUUUUCAUAUUAAAUUAUGUUUCACAGCUAAAUAUUUGAUAUUAAAUGAAAGCCCUGUUUCCCCUGAAUAAAAUGAUAUAUAAUAAGGGUGGGUGCAUUUACUAUGAAAGAGGUGAAUUACGGUUGGACAAGGACCCACAUCCACGAACCACCAAGUUAAUGGCAGGACCCAAGGGGACUAAAGGUUGGACCACACUACAAGGACGCGAGACUACUGAAGGAAAACCGAAACUUUAUAAGUAGAAGACAAGGGGAGGGGGGAGACAGAUACCCUCGACUACACCAAGCCCAAUAACCUAUCAUUCACUGAAUGCUAACAACACAUAACCAGAUGAGACCCAAAUUCGCCAAGAAUAGCUAUUGAUGUACUGUGCAUCUCAUUUGAAACAGAUCAAAAUGCUUUAAAUACAAAACGGGCCUGCGAGCCCGAGACACAGUUUCUGUCUAUAUUGAAUCUCAUAACCUAUAUCUUCUAUGAAAAAUAAAAAUGAUUUAAAAAAAAUAAAAAUUUACGGUUGGACAGACAUAUAGCGCAAAUGCCAGGUUUUGUUUACAUUUUGUUUUGUUCACAACGUGUACAUUUGGCUCUGUCCUUAAGGGGUUAAUGUGCUGAUCCCCCUGUGUUUUGUUUUGGGUUUUUUUCUCAGACCCCUAGCAGACACAGAGAGACUGCCAGUGCAAAGGCACAGAAACACAGAUGGCCUAAAGUCCCCCGAAAAUGAAGCCAGUACGUUAGACCAAAAGAUCAAGAAAUCCAGCAAGAAGGAGCAUAGGCAACAGGAAACGGAGAAAGUAAAGAAAAAAGAGAAAAAGGUACGUAUGGGCAAGUUAAAUGACAUCCAUGCACAAACUUAUACUGUGUGAACAUGGCCGCAGUUGUUGCUAAUGUAAUGCAAACUUGCACUUUUUGGAAAAUCUGUCCUUGGUUGUGAGGGUGCGUUUGUUCGAUUCACUCUGAAAAGCGAGAGUAAUUAUUCCUUAAUGCUAAAAUCUUUACAUUUUACUUUAUCCCAUAUUUGUUUCUUAUAUUCAUGAUUUCUUGAUACAACACAGUAUUUUAAGGAAAGAAACGUGACAUUGCUCCUAAAAAUAUAGACACGCAAAGCCCGGAAACAUCAUCUAAAUAUGUAACUUAACUCCUCGUGUGCCUAGGCACCUAUUCACGUGAACAAAUUAAGAACAAUAGGGAAAUUGUUCACAUUUAUAUGAUUGGAAUCCUGGCAUAUGUUUAAAGUGGUAAUAUUAAAAUAGAAUUAUCUGAUGUAUCUAUGGCCAACAGUGAAUGGUCAGGAAAAAGAAAACACAAACACGUAAUCUCUCCUGAUAAUUGUUUGCCACUCAAAAAUGUGAGGUUGGAGCUUGAGGGGGAUAAGCUGGCUCAAGUGGGUGGACAGAUCAAAACAUGAAAAGGAGGUGGGCCCAAUUGGUUAGGUAGACCCUGAAAAGACACUGACUCAUUCCACAUGGUGUGAAUGCCCAACAGAUUCACCGACAACCUCUGGCCAGCCCCACUCGGACAUGUAUGUCUAAUGAUAUGCUCACACAGCACUUUCUAGGGAUAUUUAUCUGGUAUACCCAUAAGUGAGACACCUAGUAUCAAACCUGGAGUGGUGGGACAGCAGUUAGAUACUGGAGGUAUCCUACCUAACCCGGUACUGUUGCAACGUGUGAUAAUGGGAAAAUGUUGAACGAAGGCAAACUACUAGAGCUAGUUACAGAUCCACAAAUAGGUCCAAAAUCUCACCCUUUUCCCUUCCAUUUGUAUUUUAAAGCAGAAAAGCAAAUCAAAAGAGGAGAAAAUCAAACGCAAGAAAUCUACAGCAAGCACAACCAAGGAGGACGAGGUUCCUGUCAAGGAAGAGGAAGUCAAGGAGGAUGAGAAAGCCACCGAAGCUACGUCCGAUGUGAGCAAGAUGAGCAUAUUGUGUAUUUCGUCAGCACAUAUGUGUAAGAUAGUGAGAAAAGAUCGUGACACCAGUCAUUACUGCUGUGCACAGUCUGUUUCACACUGUUGUAUACAAUCUGAGACUGAGUGAUAGUAUUGCUAUGUGAUUUUUGUGUGUUGUAUUGCACAUGCUGAGACUUCAUGAGUCACAAUGGUCUCUUGGAUCUUUUUCUUUGUUUAUAUACCUAUUUGUUUCAAUCACCGGAUCUGUCUUUGGUUUUCAGGACAUGGAUUUCUGGCUCAAUAACUCUGAGGCACCAGCUCAGUCUCAGGUUAGUAGUUUGGUGAGGAAGGAGCCGCCAUAGUGGAUUUCUUUCUUUUUGUAAUCGAACAUGAUAUAUACUUCAAGCCAUAUCUAGAAAGAAGCGAGACUGCCAAUGAUUGCCAAGUAGUUGAGGAAAUGAACAAGUAGAUAAAAGGAACAGGUAGCGCCAAAAAUGAGCAAUAAAUAUAUAAAACAAGAUAUGGAUCUAAAAUUGAUCUGUAGGUACACUAACAAAGAAUCUAUGAAAAAGUUCAAAAAAUACCAGUAGAUAAAAUACAGUCUUUGGAUGGAAUGUAAUCCGUCUUCAGAUAUUCUUAAAAUGCUUGGGGGACAAUUCCUCUCGGUGGCAGCAUAUGAGAAAACAUAAAACAGAGACCAAUGGUGCAAUGUUGAUAAAAGAAAGUGAGUGCUUCUAAAAAAAAAAAACUAUAAAAAAUGCCAACUCACAUUUGAUAGAGCUAUAACCAGCACUUGCAGGAUAUUUUCAGGUAGUAGUUUGUACCAGGAAGAUGAUACACUACCACAACAAGAGGACAUAGUCUUAAAUUAGAGGGACAAAGGUUUAAAAAUAAUAUCAGGAAGUAUUACUUUACUGAGAGGGUAGUGGAUGCAUGGAAUAGCCUUCCAGCUGAAGUGGUAGAGGUUAACACAGUAAAGGAGUUUAAGCAUGCGUGGGAUAGGCAUAAGGCUAUCCUAACUAUAAGAUAAGGCCAGGGACUAAUGAAAGUAUUUAGAAAAUUGGGCAGACUAGAUGGGCCGAAUGGUUCUUAUCUGCCGUCACAUUCUAUGUUUCUAUAUGGUGGAAUAUAAAAAAGAAAGGCCAAUAGUGCACCUAAUUGAGGUAUGUAAACACGCACUAAAAUUGAAGUGUACUUACUCUUGGUGGAGCAGACUAACACACUUUUUGAGUUAGCAGUGGAUAGUAUUCUCCCCACCAAGGAUUCUUUGUAUGGUUCAGAGAAGUAAGGUGCAAGGUAAAAUAUAUAUAAAAAAUAUAUAUAUAUAUAUUUUAUUUUUUUUUUAUUUUUUUAGAUUCUUUGUUAUUGUAUCUACAGAUCAUUUUCAGACUCCAUAUCUUGUUUUAUAUAUUUAUUUCUCAUUUUUGCCGCUACUUGUCUAGUUCUCCUUUAGAGUUAGAGGGAACCCCCUAUCUCCUAUUUGCUAUUUUGUUUCAUUGUUUUGCGCGGUUCCUACCGCUUGUUUGUUUUGUAUUUAAGGAAAUGGGCAUACGUACACACAAACACACUCAUAAAUAUCAUUAUUCAUUUUUGGGUUCAGAUAUCACCUGGUUAGAAAGCUUGUUAUGUUUAGCUAGUUCAGCAGCAAUUCUUAAACGCUCCUUGAUGCACAGGCCUGCCUCUCCAGGGACAGUCUGGUGAAUCCAGAAUUCAGUAUGCCUUCCCUGGUAUCCAUUUGUUCUUUUUAACCCCACAGAGCGUACCUGAAGCCACUACCAAUAUAGAAGAACCUAAAAAAGAAGAGAUCAUACAAGAAACAAAUGAAGAAGAGAAUGAAAAGGUAAGCAUUACGUUUGUCAGCAAGUCUGCACUGAUCUUUUCUUUAUAAACACACAUGGUGUAUUGCUUGGCUGUUACUGUGCAUUAUUCCACAAUUCAGCACUGUAUAGUCUGCCAAUCUAUCACAUGAGCCUGUCUUUUUGUCUUGGCAACACAUCAAUAGGAUGAACUGUUUUCUUUGCAGUGGUAAAGAGGCACUCAAACCAAGUGUCUGUAGUGGUUAGCUGAUACCAUUCCAAGUUUUAAAUGGAAACUCUAUACCCACUAAGCCCUAAGUGGAUACUAUUCUGGCAAACUACUUUUCUACCCUAUUGUUACCUUUUGUGUCACUAUACCCCACUCCCUCUAGUAUGGAAUCUCAUUGAGCAGGUACCUUAAUCCCCCCUCUGUUCCUUUCUGUCCAAUUCAUCUGGUUACAAAUAUGUGUCUGUUAGCCAACCCAUUGUACAGCACUGCGUAAUUUGUUGGCGCUUUAUAAAUAAUAACAAAAUAUUCCUAGCACUAUAGUAUCCUCUGCCCCCUCGCGGCCACCGCCUCCCCGCCAAAAGGGAUAAAACCCUUUUGUCACUUACCUGAUUCCAGCGCCAAUGUCCCUCAGUGCUGGGUAAGGUUCCACCGACAUCAGAGGGCGUGGGGGAGUACCUAAUGCACGCUGAUCGCAUUAGGACUUCCCCAUUGGGGUUUUAGCUGACGCUGGAUGUCCUCAUGCAAAGGUGAAGUACCUCUUAUGGCUGUCUGGUAGGUUAUAAUUACAAUUGAAGGGUUGAGACAAAGGCACUGCACCCAGAGAUGAAUGGGAUGAAGUGGUCUGUAGUAUCCCUUUAUUGUAAAGCCAUUUAGGGAAAAAUUUUAUAGUAACUGGGGCUCGUCCUGUUUCCCAGGAGUUGACCUUUUGACGCUUUGAUAAUGCUGACGUAUUAAUUUUGCUUUGCUCUGAUCAUUACGCACUACAUCAUUUUUGUAACAAGAACAAUUUGCAUAGUGCUAGUUUGUACACAAUUAUUCAGUUACUGUACUCACCUCUCACAUAUUUUUACAGAUAUGUUGACCGUUUGUCCUUUUAGUUAUAUUCUGUGCAUGUUUCAGAAAUCCCACCGACACAAGAAAAAGCAUAAGAAGGAGAAAGAUGAAGUGAAGGAAGACAAGAAAUCUCGCAAGAAGAAACACCAUCACCACCACCACCAUCGUCACCACUCACACGAGGAAGAGCAGACCGAAUCUGUGCAAAAUGGAACACUGGAUGAAGAAGAGACUCUGCCGGUUAGAGGAGGAGAGGGUGGGGGCAGAUUAAAAAGAGACCUACUAUUUCAGAGUUACAAGUCGCUUUGCAGUUUUAAAAAGGAGGGGUGGAUUCUUCUGUAACAACUUGAAUAUUAAAAUUGGUAUUCGAAGAAAAUGCCACAUACUCACUAGAGAUGUCAUUAUGUCCUCUAAUGACAUUGUUGUUCAAAAUGUAUUCCUGAUUAUUAACCUUCAUCACCGAUGAGAGCAAUGGUCUUAGAAGUGACCCAUGCGUUGUUGUACAAUCCUUAAAAUAAUACUUUUGUGCUAAUGUCUGCAUAGCCACUUGCAUUCAUUGUGGUUGUCACAUCGCAUGGAGCCAAAAUGACUCACAUUUAAAAAGACAUUCAUGACCUUUAAGCAACUUUAGCUUGCUGGAAAGCUUUUUGUGUGUAAAGUGUGUCCUAUUUCUUUAUUUAUUUUUUUCAUUUUGCAAAAAGUGCACAUUUCAAUAGAAAUUGCCACUUUUAUAAAUCAACCUGGUUACACCCACUUGGCUUUCAAGCAGACAACCGGUACUUCCUGGUUUGCUUAGCUCAGUGAAGCUAAACUCAAGAGGCCGCAAUUGCCCAGAGCACAUGCCUUGCAAAGAUUUCUCAUUGAGCUGCAUUGGGAAAUCUGUGAUUGGACAGCCACAGAAAAAAUCAGAGUGGCUUCAAAGGGCAGGGCUUGCAAAGGCAGCAGACAAGAGAACUGCAGGUUUUGCAAGCUGUUAGAUAUAUCACCUAUAAACAAAUGCAUGAUUAAAUGCAAUACCUGGUUUCAUUUGGGGUAUAUGUACUAAUUUGCUCAUUUGAUUAAAGAGAAUUCACUAUUUUGGAAUUCCUGACACCGUAAAGAUUUAAUCUAUUUACUGUGGCUCUACGUAUUCUUCAAUCAAUAUGUCUUGUAUUUGUUUCUGAUCUCGUAUGUUCAUGUUCCACUGAUGUCUUGUUUCAUGUGUUCACAUUGCUCACAUGUCUCCUCUUGUUUUGCAGCCAAUGUCCAGUUAUAGCACUCUGGCAGAGAGUACAUACAUCAAGAUGGUGAGUCGUGUCAUUUAGACAUGUUAAUCUGUGUGUGAUGAUUUGUAUUUCACAGCCAAUUGGCAUUCGUUUCAACCUGCACUGCACAAGGUUUUAUCUUUCACUUUUCUGACCUUUUUUUCCUGUGUUAACCAUCUGUGUUUUAAUAACCUUUGUACGUAUCAGUCUCUCCGUGCACAUCAAACUAUACUACUGCUUGGUUUAAGCCCACUGUACUUUUGUGGCAUUAGCCGCUCUAUGCCAACCAAAUAUUACCUUCAUGCAUCAGUGUUCUCUAUUCUCCUGCCUGGCAGAUGUAUGACAUUCAAGGGGAUCUGCAGAAAGAAAGCCAGGUCACUGUUUCUGUCAUCCUUGAGAAUCUGAGUCAGAGCUUCCUGAAGAACAUGGAGAUUAACGUUUUGGACUCCCUCAAUACUAAAAUGAUGAGGCCGGAGGGAUCAACUGUCCAUGAUGGUAUUCCUGUACCUUUUCAAUUGCCACCAGGUGAGUGUGGAUCCUGCAGUUCCUUAAAUCUCUGUUUGCAUGCAGGUAUGGUGCAAUUUAUAUGGUAAUAACAUUUUAGAAAAGUAAUAUUUUACUGCUUGGCUGUCAGCAUUGGGUUAUAUGACAAAUGCUGCGGUAGAUUUGCACUGGUGCAUUCCCGAAAUGUUUUACAUCAAGAUAGAAGUGAUAGCUCAUAAUAAAAUAUGCUGUGUUUUCUGGAUUAUUUAAUCCGUCUUUAUAAAUCGAAAAACUAAAGGUGAUGUGCAAAUCAUUACUAAAAAAUAUUGUAAUGUCAAAAUAUAGCACCCUGCCGUAAAAUGGUGUCUAACAUUAUAAAUGCCAGUAAUAAAUAAAUAAUCCCCUAUUGAAAUAUCUUGUGUCCUAAAAUAAUCUACCUACUAUGAGGAUCUGGCCCUUAACACUUCCUAAAUGGGCAGGAUUAUGUAGAGCUUCCCUGCUGGAUAUUUGUUUGGCAUGACCUACGGCCGGCCAAGACUUGCUAUUCAUUUGCAGAUAAAUAUUUAACUAAAGCCUUUGCUCUGGUACAACUCACAUUAAAGACACACCAUCAGCCUCCAAGAUGUGCAUAGAUGCUUAUCAAACUGGUUAAAAGUUACGAUAUACAACUGAAUUCUAGUAGUUUGCGUAGUUGCAAAAAUUGUAGUGUUAUAGAGUUUUAAAUCUAGAAGACAACCUUCAUUAUACACUGAUCUAAGGUAAUUCUAAUGUUCGGUUUUGACACUUUAACUAGAAAAGAACAUUUGGCAUGAUUAAGGCUAAUGCCAACUGAAUAAUUUAUUCAAACAGACCUUAAAUAAUGCAUAAUCUGUAUAUUUUUUGGCUCUCAUUUGGUGCCUGUGUAUUAUUGAUGUUUGAUAGCUUGGCAGAUGAGCACUGGUUUCGUUUAAUGAUCUUGUGCUAGAGUGGCUAAAAGCUAGUUCCCAAUUGUAGAACUACAAAACCCAUGAAACACCAUGGUAGUUAUAGUUCUACAACACCUGCUGGCCUAGUUAAAUCUAUCAGCAUUGUAAAUUCCUGUCACCUGUAAGCUCUGUUUUAAAGUGGUUAUUCCUGUUGUGAUUUUUUUCUGACAGGUGUUUCUAAUGAAGCUAAAUUUGUGUUCACUGUCAAGAGUAUUGUCAUGCCCCAGAAGCUUAAAGGAACAUUGUCUUUCAUAGCAAAGGUGAGUUUGUUUUUCUUCUUUUUAUUUAACCCCUUAAGGACACAUGACGGAAAUAUUCCGUCAUGAUUCCUUUUUAUUCCAGAAGUUGUGUCCUUAAGGGUUAAGUAAAGGUACUUUCUACCGCUUUCAAAAACUAAAGGUGCCGUGUUGCCAAUACAGAUCAUCAGAAAUGUGACAUUACAUAAAUAUUGGGGGCGGGGUACGAUUAUUUUUCGUCUUAACCGCUUCACGCCCAGAAUAGAAUAAACUUUUUUUUUUCUUUCAUGUAGAUUGAAAUCUUUAUACUAUAGCAGUGGUUCCCAACCCAGUCCUCAAGUACCCCCUCCUAGUCCAGGAUUUAGGGAUACUUGAGGACUGGGUUGGGAACCACUGUACUAUAGGAAAGAUUACUUGUAUAGGAACAAAUUAAUCUGCCUUAAGCCACUGGUCAAUGAUUAAAUACCUUCAAGUCUGUUAAAUGUCGGCUCACCCACUGCUUCCAAACAGUAAAAGAAAUUUCAAUGGUAAAUAUUAUUCCUACAGUCAUGGAGCAGAAAGGAGUGAAUGGCCUCUACCAUUUUACUGUUAGUAUUACAUUACCAGUCCAGAGGGUGAUAAAGAUUGCUAUAGCCAUUUUGAAAUACCUUUUUAUUAUAGAAAAAAUGAUUUAGGGGAAUUACAUAUGUCAAAUAUUUUAAGUUUGUUAGGCUUCCAUAUCAUUGUUAUAUAAAAAAAAAUUAUAUUUACUGUCCCAUUAAUACUGCACCUACUAUAUUUGCCUUUUGUAAGUUUUGAUUUAGAUUUUUUUUUUUUUUCGUAGCAUCAUUAGGCAUUAAGUGACAACUGCUUUUAUAUGAAAUCUCACCACUAGGUCUUGGAACUUGCAGCACAUGUCACUGCAGAACAGCUAGUCAGGACUGCUUCCACAUUCCUGCUUUCUCAUAACUUCAACAUAGAAAUAGUUUGUAUUGUUAAUCACAGAUGUCAAAUACUGCUGUCAGACAGGUUCUACACAAGCCAAAACCUUUCUCUUGUGGACACAUUUUCGGUUUUCAUGCAUGGUUAUCAUUUUCUUAAAAUUUUCUUUUACGUAAACUUUGUAGGCUCUGUUUGUUUUAUCCCAGCGCUCUUACUGUUCUAUUUAAACAUAAAUGCAUUAAAAUUGUCUCGAUUUCCUUUUUAAUUCUUUUUAUUUAUUUUUUUUUAGGACGAUGAGGGUUCAUCCCAUGAAAAACUAGACUUCAAACUGCACUUUAGCUGCUCUUCCUAUUUAAUUAUGACUCCUUGCUACAGGUAUGUUUGAGCAAUCCUAUAUAUGUGUGGAAUAAUGACAUUUGUGUAUUGUCCAAUCAAAUGCUUGUGUAGAGAAGCAGCUUACAUACACUGUUUCCUGUCCAGCAUCUUCAUACUUUGUUGUACUGAUGCCAGACGUCCACAAGAUGCUUUGCCAAAUAUAAACAUCACUGUUUACUGUUCUAUAAAACAUCAAAAUCACUUCAUUAAGGUGACAUGUUUUUGGUGCUUAGUGUGUCCAUUUGACAGUUCUCGCCUAGCACAUCUACAUAGUAAUCUUGUGAUGGGUCCAUCAGUUCUACUAUGUUGUAAGAGCAUUUAAAUAAUCUUGAUUGCAGGAAUUAGGAGAAGGAUGAUAGGAAUACAGAUUUGUAUUCUUAACAUUAUAGAAUCCUUUUAAUUUGCAAAUGCAAACACAGCGAUUCGGGCUCAAGUCUGAAUUCUGAGCAUUUACAUGAGGCUUGUUUUACACUCCCACUGAUGUUUUACAGUUUGUUUGUUUUCUUCAAUACAUAAAAUAAGCACCAUUAAAUUGGGCAAAAGUAACAGUAUUUGGAAACCAGAGUAAUCUGAAUGUACCUUUCCUAGUAAAAAUACUUUGUUGUUGUUCCUAUUAUUAGUCGAGCUUUACUGACGUUUUGAUGGUUUCAUCUCACUCCUUCAGUGAUGCGUAUGCCAAGCUGCUGGAAUCAGGAGACCUGAAAAUGAGUUCACUUAUAGUUGAUACCACCACACUAUCCUUCCACCAUCUAUUAGCGAAGAUAUGUUUCUACCACCACUUCACUGGUAUAGUGCUCUCUAUGGGGAAAAAAAAAGUCUCUUAUUACAAUUCUAAUAUACUUCUGAAAAAUGUAACACUUGGAUGUUUUGUUUUUUUUAGUGGUUGAGCGAGUUGACUCGUGUGCGUCUGUGUACAGUCGAUCUAUUCAGGGUCACCAUGUGUGCUUACUGGUGAAAAAGGUAAGCACUUAAAGUGAACCUGUUAUGUAAAUUCUAGAUAUUACUCAGUCGGACACCCCAACACAUUGAAUAGCUUAUAUAUCAUAGAAAUACAUGAGGUCUUCAUUGUAAAAUAUUUUGAUUUACCCACCAUAGCUUUGUUAGUGUUACUCUUCCGCCAGUGCUCCACUUACUGACUUCUGUGACUUGCCCUGCUUGGGGACACGUCUCCUCUGUGAUGUUGACAUUCUGGCUUUAUUCCCCCGCAUGCUGACAUCAGUUUGUUUCUGUACUCCUUAGCCAACAUUAGCAGCAUUGGCUAGGGGGUUACCAUAGCAACCACAGCACAUGCUAUGUGUGAAGAGCAGACGGAGUGCCUCUGGGAGGUCACUUCUGCUGUCACUUGUCAUCCAUAAUUUUGGCAAGAUUUGACUGAGAAGUUAGAGAAAUACCUAUUUUUAAAUAGGUUUUUCUUCCAAAUGAGACACUUGCUAGCAAUGUGUAGACCGCAUUUUAUGUUCUUUAAAAAGAACAUAAGGCGAGGUAUCCUUUUAAGUUGCCUACAGGAAGAAAAUGAACACACAAAGCUGGUUGCAGCAGACCUAUUGGUCAACACAUUCUAUUUUUCAAGACUUUUUUUUAAAAUGUCAGAGCAUCCUGCCUGUACCUGUAGGUUGCAGGAGAGAUGUGAGCAAAUGCUCCGAUUUGAGAGUACUUUGUUGGACAUUUUCCAAAGUCUCCUGUCCUUUUCAGUUGCUGUUGUAUUACUGUGGCUUUAUUUGGCAAUCACUUUGUCAUUUGUAGCUCAUUUACACUUUAUCUUUUAUAUUCAAUUUGUAUAUUUCGUCACAGUCUGCACAGAAUGCACAGUAUUUAUUACAUAGAGAUGUUUUUUUUUGUAAACUAUCGUAUUUAAAACCAAGCAAGUUUAUUGAAGCUUAUUGAAGGAAUUAAUGAGGAAAUUUCAAGUUCCCAGCCAUCUGAGGCUUUGAAAGAAAAUUCAGGUCUGAGGGAUUUUUUUGCAUUUGAUUGAAAUUGCAAUUAACUGGUCAAUUUAAUGAGUAAGCUUGAACGAGUCAUAAUAGAGCAAGGUUAUUUGUAACCAUGUGCAUCAGUAGACAUUCCUUUAAAACGAAACCUCAGUCAUGACAUUCUGCGGUUUAAUUUACAUGGCCAGUCUGGAAAAAUGCACAUUUUAAAGGGACACUGUAGUCAACAUAUAAAAGCAAGAAAGACAGGUCCCCCAGCCUUCUUUCUUGCUUUUAUAUGAACUUAACAUAAAUCAGAUUAAGGUUUUUUUUUUUCUCCUUGAGAAGCAUCAUCGCGAUGUGGUGCGCAUGCGCGGUUUCGCGCUGCACCAAUCGCAUUCUUCAUAGAGCGGCAUUGAAUGCCACCCUAUGAAGAAGCUCAGCGCUCAACCGCGCAUGUGCGCGGAAUGCGCGUUCGCGAGCUGAGCUGUCUGACAGCUCAGCUUGCUUUCUAUGCCUGCCCUCCUCCACAGUCAAACUGUGUUUGCAUGUUUGCAUAGAAACACUAUAUAUAGAGAUCUCUCUAUAUAUAGUGUUAAUAUGCAAAACACACAAGUAAUAAAAAAUUAGACAUACACACACACACUUUCUCCAUCCAUAUCCAUUCCCCAUCAUCCAUAUCCAUCCUCACCCUCAGUCACCCACCCACACUCACUAAAUAAGUUUACUUACACAGUUUGAAUCCUCCCCUCCUCCUCUUCGGUCUUCAGCCUGUCAGCUCAAGCCACUCCCACACAGUGCUGACAGCCUCAGCACACAAAGCACGUUCACAGUGCUUUGUGUGCUGAUAGCACGUCUGAAGUAGUCACCCAUACGUGAAUACGUCAGACGUGACUGAAACCUUUUCAGGGCUUCUGAACGCGGAAGUCCCUCUGGUGGCCGUCUGACUGCAGCUAGAGGUGUUCCAAGCUUCCAAUGUAAACACUGUAUUUUAUAUGAAAAUACAGUACUUACAAGCAACAACCUCAUUAAGCUGAAGUUGUUCGAGUGACUAUAGUGUCCAUUUAAUGUCUAAAAACAAUCUAGAUGGCUAAAUGGGACUUUUUUUGGCAUCAAGCUAGAAGUGGAUUAGAAAUUUCAGCUGAUUCUUGGUUUCCCAUUGAUACAAAUCGGAUUUCAUUGCUAGUUUACAAAACAUGAGUGGCUACCAUUCAUUCAAGGCUGUAAUUUAAUGUUUGGCAUGUUUAGCACUUCUCCCAUCUGGUUUAAUGUGAAUGAAAAUGUAUGCAUUGUAAUGUUAAGCGGCUUCCAUUCCCUCUUAUGUUAGUAAGUGCGACUGAAGACAACUGGCACUCGUCCUGCUUUAGCACGAUCAGUGGAAUUAGGCAUUCCUAGCAUGUUCCUUUAUUAUAUUGUCCUGUAGUUCUCUGUGACUCCAUUGUUGGCUAGUUUGAUCAAAACUGGAUCAAUAAAUAAUUCUUCAGCAUUGAGUUGUAGUUGAUCUGCUAAUGUUCCUUCGUGGCUUCUGGCACAACUGGAAUGACCAUUCUAGAUUUCUAAAAAGUCCAGAGCGUUCUAUAAUCUGUUUGACUUUUAUCGUUUUCCCUCGUUUCUUAUAGGGGGACAAGUCAAUAUCUAUUGAUGGGAAGUGCAGUGAAGCAUCUCUACUCGGCAACGUUCUCGGCGAGAUCAAAGAAACGCUGACGGAAUCUUGAACAUUGUGAUCUCUCUCUCCUUUUAUCCUCUCUCUAUUCUGCACCUCCUGCAAGAAGCACUCAAACAGAACACAAAGUGAAAAGAUCCAGAAUUACUCAGCAAUUGUUCUGAUCCAAACACGCAUGUUCUAGCUCUGCCUUUUUUCUGAUGCAGGAGACUUCAAUUUUACUGUUACUUAAGCGCGGAUUAAUCUCUCCAUCCACCCCUCCCACCUCCAUCCUUUUUAUUUUGUCAUUUUUAGACACUUCAGUGACCAAGAGGAGCUUGUUUAAUGGCAACGUUGUUCAUUUAACUAUUUUGCUGCCAGUGGUUCUGCCCUCAGACAGUAAAAUUGUUAAUUUUGCGCUUUGUCGAGAUCCAUGCCGUUUACACUAGCUGCAGAGCAUACUUGGCCUUUCCUGCAAUAUAGAUUAAUGACCUACAGAAUAUCUGUUAGAGAAGCUGUGUGAGAUAAUAAUUUAAACUGCCCGUGUUUGAUUUGUACCGGAGAUGCAGACCUAACAAAACAGACCUCUAUCUAGGAAGGGGCUGUGUAUAGUUAUUCCAGAUCAUGAUCGCUACGGUGAGCCUGUAACGCCCUCAUACCUACAGUUUACCAUGUUGUGCAUGAACUGCUUGUAGGAUAUGACCUUACAGAAUUUUGUUUUCUUUAUUAUUUCCUAUCCCCUUGUUUUGCUCCGUACCCUAAUUUUGCAUCCUUUGGGUAGGCUGAUGCCAUGUGCCUCUGAUGGCUUUCUCCAAAAAGUAAGCAGGUCUGAAGACAUUCCUUGCAAAGUAACUUUUACCACCAGAAACUGGAAAAAAGACAAAUCUCAAUUACUUUCCGCGUGUCUGUGUGUUUUUUGUUGCCCUGUUUUGUGUGUUGCUCCCACUGUACUUCUGAACCAGAGUCCACUUAUUUACAUAUAAAAUAUUCUAGUUUGUGCUGUACAGUCUGGGUACCAUUAAAUGAAACGUUUACCCACUUUUGCAGUUAUAGAGGUAUUCAAGCGUUGUAUUCCUAGGUUUGUUUUAGGCCUUUUUUUAAAUUGCAAAAGAUUUCAAGAUUUACAAAUCAUAUGGCUACUGGGAAAUCAUAACUGGUGGUGCCUUACUGUAAUUCCCAAUCAUGUUUUCAAGUGGGCUUAAUCGCACUACAAUGAUGUUUAACCUUUAUUAAAUAUUUUAUUCAGGAAUUAUUAUAUGGCCCGGGUGUCUGAAAAUGCAAAAAGGGACUGAUAUCUCGGUGAAGACCAUGGGCUGCCAUUUCGAUAUUGAAAUCAUUUUUCUGUGCAUUAUUGUCAUUUAAUGCCUCCUAAUACCCAACCUGUUAAAUGCAACAAGAGACUCUUACGGCUGUUUCUCUUACCUUAUAAAGCAGAAAUCUUGAAGUAUGUUGUCAAUCUUGGAUACUUUUAAUUCACUUCUUUUUUUAUACACGUUAUAAAAAAAAAAAAAAGAUAGUUACAGGGAGUGAAGACAUGGACGGCAGGUUAUUCACGGAAUACUGUGUUAGAAACACUAAAGUCACACUCUAUCCCAAAGAUAAUAGAAGAGACUGACUGCAGUCCAAAUUAACAAGUGCCACUGCAUAUUAGAUGUGAUGUCCGCUUGAUAACCUCUUCCUCCCCCCCCCACUGUCUUUUCGAAGGCAAAGUGCUUAAUGAUGUUUUUCAGAUCUAUUAAAAAGUAUUAGUCUUCAGGGAUGCAGAAAACUAUACACAUCUGAAAAAGACAUAGGCAGUACCUUGAGCUCUGCUGUAAAUAUUCUUGUAGUAGUCUUCACAUAUUGUACAUCACACAGUGUGUACAAACACUGUUACCUUUCCAAUGCCUGGGUCAGUCACUCAGUCACAUUACACUUCAAACUCCCCUGCCGCUUUGCAUUUAGGGGGGGCAGUAAACAAUUGUUUUAACUUCAGAUUUUGCCCAUCCUGUUUUCUCGUGGACUCAAACUUGAUCACACAGUCUGUGUCCAUAUUUAUGUUUUGUUUUUGUUUGUUUUUUUGUCCUGACUCUGCCUUGGUUACAUUCGCAUGUAUAAUAUCUUCUUUCCCAAAACCCUGUGUGGUGAAUAUAGAAGUUUCCAGUCUGUAUGUGUUAUAAAUUCGCUAUCGACAUUCCCUUGAAGGACAGAAAAUGGUACCACAGAAGCUGCUGUAUUUGUGUCAAGAUGAUCCACAAUAAAGUAUCAAAAUGGUCAAGAUUUAUUUGUUAUUGUCAAUAUUUUAUCUUUAAAUAUUUGAAAAUGAAUGUGUGUACUAGCAUGAAGAAUAAAGGGACACUGUAGUCACUAUAAUAAUUUCAUCUCUUUAAAUUAGUUACAGUGCCUGGAGUCCCCUGGCGCAGUUCCUGCAUUCAGUGUUAAACCAUUUUAAAGUAGUUUAGCACCUAUAUAAGGGUCCCUGGCCACCCAAAGUCCGGCCCCUUCUGGAGGUGUGGCUAAGGGAGAAAUUACACACUUCCUUGUUGUCGUACAGUCUGUUGGAGCUCUGAUUGGCUAAACGCAGUCAGCUGACACAGGGGAGGACUGCCUGGGAUGCUCAUUUAGCAUAAAAACAUUAAAAACUGUUUAUUGUUAAAUGGAAUGAUGGUCCCAGGGGACUCCAGACACUAUAACCAGGUUAAUGAAAUGAAGCAAAC